AGAUUUUGGUAUAAAAAAAUAAAAAUAAAUAAAAAUAGUGUGAGAAACUAUUUUUAUUGGAUUUAGAGAAGUAAAACAUAAGUCAGAAGUGACUUGUGCUGGAAUCGGAAUGAAAACAGAAGAUUUAGAAUUUUCUGUUGGAAACGGGACAGAUAAAUUAGCAGAAAAUGUAUAGUGUCAGAAAAUUAUGAAAACUGGAGGAUAAGUCAGAAUUAUUUUUAUGAGGCUAGAUUUAAAGUUUCAUGUCAUUCUGACACCCGGAAGGUGGAAAAUAAAAUCCAACAGCUAUCUGAUAAAGAUUACAGUUCGGUACAGUUUUCGGUGACCAAACGGGGUCGAAACUGAAAUAUUAAAAUUUCUUUGGACUUGUUAAGUAAAACCGAACAUGACUGUCAAAUUUGAGCUCAAACGGGUAUUCAGGGAGCUCCGGCAAAAGAUAUCAGAUUUCGAGCUGCCUAGAGUGAAUAGUAUUUUGGUGUUGACUAAAGAGGAGUGUUGACCUCUUCUUCUUCCUCAGCUGACCACACCACCCCACCCCACCACUCACGCACGCAUGGGAAGGGAGAGAGAGACUCUCCUUUCUCUCUCUAAAGAUCUCUCAUCUGUCCAAAUCUCUCUCUAAAAAUUUGAGGGUUGGUGGGGAGCGAGCUUGCGAACGCGUUGGAGGCGACGGAUCGAGCUUUCGUGCGCCCGUUGGAGCGGCGUGCUUUCGUCACGGCGUUCACAUUUUGGUAAGCUUUUGGAAUUUUGUUUAAAUCCUUCAUGAAUGAUGUUUUAGUAGUAUCUAGAGUGUUCUAAACAUAUUUGCUCCAUUUAAUUUGGAUUAUUUGGAGGUUAAUUGCACGUUAGGGCUCCGAAUGGGGUUUUGAAAAAUAGUAGGGUUUGAUCUCAUUUGACCCUCCGUAAACCUAAUUGCUAGGUAAACGAACGCGUUGGCGAAGUCGAUUCAGCGAUUCGUCGAGCAGUUGUAAAGAUAUUAAAGAAACAGACGUUUAGGCUUCGUUUUCGCCUGGAGGGCCGAGGCGACAUCGUAAAAUCAUGAAAAUGGAUUGGAGCACCGUGGCACAUAACCGAAGACCUAUAAUUUUCGGAACCGCGAUUCGACGCACAGUUGGUGAGUAUUAACAAAAUCGGGCCGAACCGGGUUACGGGUGCCACGGGAGGCCGAUUGCAAGUGUCGACAAGCAAUCGGAAAGCGAUUGGAGGUGGGUUGUGUUUACCGAAGCGACUAGGUCGCUUGUAUGUCUAAGAUGAGUGUUUAUCAUUGAUGCAUAUUAUGGUAGCUAGUGGUAGAAUGUAUAAAUGCAUGAAAUGAAUGCUAUGUUAGGCUACUAAAUAAUGCAUAUGGUGAUAAUGUGAGAAUGCUAAGUAAUGCAUAAUGACAUAGUGUAAAUAAUGCUAAGUGGAAAGCAUAAAGUAAAUGACAUAUGUUAGUCAUGUUGCAUGUAUAGAAAUGCUAACUCACUUGCACCCUAACAGUAUAAAUUUGCAACCAGUAUUUUUUCUCAUUUUAUCGAACAAUGAGUAAAAGCUAAUUAUAUUGUUCUACUAUGCCCCGAGAGUGUAAAUUUGGAACGAAUUGAAGUCAACGUUCACAAGAGCCAAAACAGGAACAACAUUAGACUACUCAGUUNNNNNNNNNNNNNNNNNNNNNNNNNNNNNNNNNNNNNNNNNNNNNNNNNNNNNNNNNNNNNNNNNNNNNNNNNNNNNNNNNNNNNNNNNNNNNNNNNNNNNNNNNNNNNNNNNNNNNNNNNNNNNNNNNNNNNNNNNNNNNNNNNNNNNNNNNNNNNNNNNNNNNNNNNNNNNNNNNNNNNNNNNNNNNNNNNNNNNNNNNNNNNNNNNNNNNNNNNNNNNNNNNNNNNNNNNNNNNNNNNNNNNNNNNNNNNNNNNNNNNNNNNNNNNNNNNNNNNNNNNNNNNNNNNNNNNNNNNNNNNNNNNNNNNNNNNNNNNNNNNNNNNNNNNNNNNNNNNNNNNNNNNNNNNNNNNNNNNNNNNNNNNNNNNNNNNNNNNNNNNNNNNNNNNNNNNNNNNNNNNNNNNNNNNNNNNNNNNNNNNNNNNNNNNNNNNNNNNNNNNNNNNNNNNNNNNNNUCAAUGUUGACAAGAACCAAAACCGGAGCAAUAUUAGACUACUCACUUGCGCCCUAACAGUAUAAAUUUGCAACGAGUACUUUUUCUCAUUCUAUCGAACAAAGAGUAAAAUCAAAUUAUAUUGUUCUAUUAUGCCCCGAGAGAGUAAAAUUGCAACGAAUCAAUGUCAACGUUGACAAGAACAAAAACCGGAACAAUAUUAGACUACUAAAUUGCGCUCUUACAGUAUAAAUUUGCAACGAGUACUUUUUCUCAUUUUAUCGAACAAAGAGUAAAAGCUAAUUAUCUUGUUCUAUUAUGCCCCGAGAGUGUAAAUUUGGAACGAAUUGAUGUCAACGUUCAAAAGAAAACCAUAACAACAUUUGACUACUUACUUGCGCCCUAACAGUAUAAAUUUGCAACGAGUAAUUUUUCUCAUUUUAUCGAACAAAGAGUAAAAGCUAAUUAUCUCGUUCUAUUAUGCCCCGAGAGUGUAAAUUUGGAACGAAUCGAUGUCUACGUUCACAAGAACCAAAACCGGAACAACAUUUGACUCCAGAGUUGCGCCCUAACGGCAUAACUUUGCAACGAGUACUUUUUCUCAUUUAAUCGAACAAAGAGUAAAACCUAAUUAUAUUGUUUGAUGAAGCCCCGAGAGUGUGAGGUUGGAACGAAUCGAUGUCAACGUUCACAAAAACCAAAACCGGAACAACAUUAGACUACUCAGUUGCUCCCAAACAGUAUAACGUUGCAACGAGUACUUUUUCUCAUUCAAUCGAACAAAGAGUAAANNNNNNNNNNNNNNNNNNNNNNNNNGAACAACAUUAGACUACUCACUUGCACCCUAACAGUAUAAAUUUGCAACCAGUACUUUUUCUCAUUUUAUCGAACAAUGAGUAAAAGCUAAUUAUAUUGUUCUAUUAUGCCCCGAGAGUGUAAAUUUGGAACGAUUCGAAGUCAACUUUCACAAGAACCAAAACCGGAACAACAUUAGACUACUCAGUUGCGCCCUAACAGUAUAACAUAGCAACGAGUACUUUUUAUCGUUUAAUCGAACAAAGAGUAAAACCUAAUUAAAUUGUUCAAAUAAGCCCCGAGAGUGUGAAGUUGGAACGAAUCGAUGUCAACGUUCAAAAAAGUCAAAAUCGGAACAACAUUAGACUACUAACUUGCACCCUAACAGUAUAAAUUUGCAACUAGUACUUUUUCUCAUUUUAUCGAACCAAGAGUAAUAGCUAAUUAUAUUAUUUUAUUAUGCCUCGAGAGCGUAAAUUUGGAAAGAAUCGAAGUCAACGUUCACAAGAACCAAAACAGGAACAGCAUUAGACUUCUCAGUUGCGCCCUAACAGAAUAACUUUGCAACGAGUACUUUUUCUCAUUUAAUCGAACAAAGAGUAAAACCUUCUUAAAUUGUUCAAUUAAGCCCCGAGAGUGUAAAGUGGGAACGAAUCGAUUUCAAUGUUGACAUGAACCAAAACCGGAGCAAUAUUAGACUACUCACUUGCGCCCUAACCGUAUAAAUUUGCAACGAGUACUUUUUCUCAUUUUAUCGAACAAAGAGUAAAAGCUAAUUAUCUUGUUCUAUAAUGUCCCGAGAGUGUAAAUUUGGAACGAAUCGAUGUUAACGUUCACAAGAAGCAAAACCGGAACAACAUUUGACUGCACAGCUGCGCCCUAACGGCAAAACUUUGCAACGAGUACUUUUUUUCGUUUAAUCGAACAAAGAGUAAAACCUACUUAAAUUGUUCGAUUAAGCCCGAGAGUGUAAAGUUGGAACGAAUCGAUGUCAACGUUCACAAAAACCAAAAUCGGAACAAUAUUAGACUAGUCACUUGCUCCCUAACAGUAUAAAUUUACAACCAGUACUUUUUCUUAUUCUAUCGAACAAAGAGUAAAAUCAAAUUAUAUUGUUCUAUUAUGCCCCGAGAGAGUAAAAUUGCAACGAAUCGAUGUCAACGUUGACAAGAACCAAAACCGGAACAAUAUUAGACUACUAAAUUGCGGCCUUACAGUAUAAAUUUGCAACGAGUACUUUUUCUCAUUUUAUCGAACAAAGAGUAAAAGCUAAUUAUCUUGUUCUAUUAUGCCCCGAGAGUGUAAAUUUGGAACGAAUCGAUGUCAACCUUCACAAGAACCAAAACCAGAACAACAUUAGACUACUUAGUUGCGCUCUAACAGUAUAACUUUUCAACGAGUACUUUUUCUCAUUCAAUCGAACGAAGAGUAAAACCGAAUUAUCUUGUUCAAUUAUGCCCCGAGAGCGUAAAUUUCGAACGAAUCGAUGUCAACGUUCACAAGAAACCAAAACCGGAAUGACAUAAGACAACUCAUUUGCGCCCUAACAGUAUAACUUUGCAACAAGUACUUUUUCUCAUUCAAUCAAACAAAGUCUAAAACCUAAUUAUCUUGUUUUAUUAUGCCCCAGAGUGUAAAUUUCGUACGAAUCGUUGUCAACGUUCACAAGAACCAAAAUCGGAACAACUUUAGACUACUCACUUGCGCCCUAACAGUAUAACAUUGCAACAAAUACUUUUCUCAUUCAAUCAAACAAAGAGUAAAAUCUAAUUAUAUAGUUCUAUUAUGCCCCGAGAGUGCAAAUUUCGAUCGAAUCGAUGUCAACAUUCACAAGAACCAAAACCGGAACAACAUUAAACUACACAGUUACGCCCUAACUGUAUAACUUUGCAACGAGUACUUUUUCUCUUUUAAUCAAACAAAGAGUAAAACCUAAUUAUAUUGUUCUAUUUUGCCCUGAGAGUUUAAUAUUAGAACGAAUCGAUGUCAACGUUCACAAGAACCAAAACCAGAACAACAUUAGACUACUAUGUUGCGCCCUAACAGUAUAAAUUUGCAACGAGCACAGCUAUCCAAUAUUACACCUCGGCUAAUAGAAAAAUAUAAUUACUUUAAUCUAUUGUUUAAUUUAAUGACCAUAAAGUACUCUCGCAAGUAUAUUGUACGGCCAACAUGAGUUCAAUUUGUUUCCCUGUUGGUUCUAAAAUGAACUUGACAUCAUUCUUUCAAAUCUACAUCUCGGGUAUAACUACAACAAUAAAGUAGAUUUUAACACAUUUUCGAUGAAAUAAAAAGUACUCGUGCAAGUAUAAUCGUUACGCGGCAACUGAGUUGUCUAAUGUUUUCGUUUGUUCUUGUGAAACAUGAUACGAUUCGUUCGAGCCCAAUUACAACUGCUCGCAAUCAUACUAACAAUAAAUUAGCUUUUCCUUUUUUCAUAGAAAAAAAAGUACUCCGUCAAGUUAUAUGUUUAUGGCGCAACUUAGUCUAAUGUUGUUCCGGUUUUGGUUCUUGUGAACUUGACAUCGAUUCGCUUCAAAUUUACACUCUCGGGCAUAAAUAGAACAAUAUAAUUAAGCUUUAACUCUUGUCGAUAGAAUAGAAACAAGUACUCGUGGCAAAUUUAUCUGUUAGGGCUCAACAUGAUCUACGUGUUCUUGGUUUGGUUCUCUGUGAACUUUGAAUCGAUUCUUUCUACCUAAAACCUCAGGAUAAUAGAAAAGUACUUUUGCAAGUUAUACUGUCGUCGGCAUGACUUUUCUUAGAUUUACCGGUUNNNNNNNNNNNNNNNNNNNNNNNNNACGUUGACAUGAUAUCGUUCCAAUUUACACUCUCGGGGCCUAAGUGAACUAUUAUUAAGUUUUACUCUUUGUCGAUUAAACGUGAAAAAUACUCGUUGAAAGUUGUUGUUGUAUUAGGGCGCAACUAGAGUAGUCUAAAUUGUCUGUUUCCGAUUUUGGUUGCUUUUAAACGCUUGACAUCGAUCUUCCAAAUUUACACUCCGGAGCCAUAAUAGAAUCGAUAUAAUUAGCUUGUACUCUUUGUCGAUAAAAUGAAAGAAAAAGUCACUCAGUUGGCAAAAUUUGUUCAUUCUUAGGCGCAAGGUGAGUAGGUCUGAAUGUGUUGUUCCGAUUUUUGGUUUUUGUGAACGUUGUAACUCGAUAGGCGUUCCAAAUUUACACUUCGGGCUAUGAACACAAUUACAUUUAGUUUUACUUCAUUUGUUCAUAAAUCGAGAAAAAGUACUGCGUUGCCAAAGUUUUUGUUAGGGACGGCAGAAUGAGUAGAUGCUAAUGUUGUUCCGAGUUUUGGUGUUUUGUUAACAGUUGACUCAUAUCGUUCCAAACUUUACACUCUCGGGGCUAUAGAUCAGAAUUAUAAUCAGGUUUACUCUUUGUUCGAUUUAACGAGAGAAAAAGUAUUCGUUAAAUUUUGAUUCUUAGGGCGCAACUUUGAGUAGUCUAAUGUUGUUCCGUUUUGGUUCUUGUAAACGUUGACAUCGAUUCGUUCCCAAAUUUACACUCUCGGGCCAUCAACUAGAAACUAUAUAAUUAGCUUUUACCUUUGUGUCGAUAAAUGAGAAAAGGUACUGGUUGACAAAUUAUUCUGUUAGGGCUGCAAGGAGAGGUCAAUGUUGUUCCGAAUUUUGUUUUUGUGAAGUUGACAUCGAUUUCGUUCCAAAACUUUACACUUCGUGGGGCUACUAAUGAAACAAUUAUUAGGUCGUUUUACUCAUUUGUUCGAUAAUAAGUAGAAAAAUUACUCGCUUGCAAAGUUAUACUGUUAGGGAGCAGGCAAACGGGGAUCACCCGACGUGAUAUGUCUAAUGUUGUUCGUUUUGGUUUUUGUGAAAGUUGACUUCGAUCGUUCCAAUUUACACCUCUCGGGGCUAUUAGGAACAAUAUUAAUUCGCUUUUACACUCAUUGUUCGAUAAAAUGGAGAAAAAGUACUCGUUGCAAAGUGUUAUACGUGUAGGAGCGCAAGUGAGUAGGUUAAUGUUGGUUCCGAUUUUGGUUUUGUGAACGUUGACGUCGAUUCGUCCAAUUUACACUCUUCGGGGCGGGGUUCUAAAGGACAAUUUAAUUAGCUGUUUACAUCUUUGUUCGAUAAAUCGAGAAAGUACUGGUCGUGCAAAAUUUAUGUGUUAGGGCAGUCGACGAUAGUCUAUGUUGUUCUGCAUUUUGGUUUUUAGUUUAACGUUGACGAUCGAUGCUUCCAACUUUAAACUCUCGGGCUCUAAGCUGAACAUUUAAUAAGCUUUUUACCUUUGUUCGAUUAAACAUGAGAAAAAUACCGUUGCAAAAACUUGUUCGUGUAGGCGCAACUGAGUAGUCUAAUGUUGUUCGCGUUUUGUGUCUUGUUAACGUUGACAUCAUUCGUUCCAACUUUACACUCUCGGGCAUUACGAACUUAAUUUAUUAGUUUUACUUUUGUCGAUUAAGAUGCGAAAAAAGGUACUCGUUGCAAAAUUUAUUCUGUUAGGGCGCAACUGAGUAGUCAAAUGUUGUUCCUGAUUUUGGCUCUUGUGAAGUUACUACUAUUCGUUCCAAAUUACGACUCUCGGGUAUAAAUAGAACAGAUAUAAUGGUAGCUUUUAUCAUUGUGUCGAUAACAAUGAAGAAAAAUGUACUGUUGCAAAUUUAUCUGUUAGGGAGCCAAGGUAGAGUCUAAUGUUGGUUCGGAGUUUUUGGUUUUUUGAACGUUGCGUCGAUACGGUUCCAACUUUACACUCUCGGGGCUUAAGCGAAACAUUUAAUUAGGUUUUACUCUUGUUCGAUUAAACGGAGAAAAAGUACUCGUUGCAAAAGUUGUUGUGUUAGGGCGCAACUGAGUAGUCUAAUGUUGUCGGUUUUGGUCUUUGUUAACGUGACAUCGAUCCGUUCCAAAUUACACUCUCGGGCCAUCAAUAGAACCUAAUAUUUAGCUUUACUCUUGUUCGAUAAAUGAGAAAAAAAGUACUCGUUUGCCAAAUUUAUGUCUGUCUAAGGGCGCAAGUGAGUAGUCUAAUGUUGUUCCGAUUUGUGUUUUGUUAACACGCGUUGACAUCGACUUCGUUCCAACUUUCACAUCUCGGGGCUUAAUCGAACAAUUUAUGUAGUUUUACUCUUUGUUCGAUUAAAUUGAGAAAAAGUACUCGUGCAAAGUCUAUUACUGUUUAGGGCGCAACUGAGUAGGUCUAAUGGUUGUUUCCUGUUUUGGCUCUUGUGAACGUUGACUUCGUAUUCGUUCCCAAAUUUACACUUCGGGGCAUAAUAGAACACAUAUAAUUAGACUUUUUACUCAUUGUUCGAUAAAAUGAGAAAAUGUACUGUUGCAAAUUCUAUACUGUUAGGGAGCAAGUGAGUAGGUCUAAUGUUGUUCCGAUUUUUUUUUGGUGACAGUUGACGUCGAUACGUCCAAACUUUUACACUCCUCGGGGCUUAAGCGAACAAUUUAAUUAGGGUUAUUACUCCUUUGUUCGAUUAAACGAGAAAAGUACUCUGUGCAAAGUUGUUGUGUGUAGGGCGCAACUGAGUAGGUCUAAUUUGUCGGUUUUGGUUCUGUUCAACGUUGAGCUAGUCGAUUCGUUCCAAAUUUUACACUCUCGGGGCCAUAGAGAACUAUAUAAUUAGCUUUAUCUUUUGUUGAUGUAAAAUGAGAAAAAUGUACUCCGUUGCAAUUUAUUCUGGCUUAGGGCGCGCAAGUGAGUAGGUCAAAUGUUGUUCCGAUUGGUUUUGCGUGAACGGUUGACAUCGAUGCGUUCCAAAAUUUACACUCUCGGAGGCAUAAUUAGAACCAAUAUAAUUAGCUUUUAUCAAUUGUCGAUAAAAUGGAAAAAGUACUGGUUGCAAAGUUUGUAUGUUAGGAGCAAGUGAGUAGGUCUUAAUGUUGUCCGAUUUUGGUUUUUGAACGUUGGACAUCGAUCGUACCCAACUUUACACUCUCGGCUUAAUCAGAACCAAUUUAUGUAGUAGUUUUACUCUUGUCGAUUAAGAACUGAGAAAAAGUACUUCGCUUGAAAUUAUCUGUGUAGGCGCAAGGUGAGUAGUCUAUUUGUUCCUGAUUUUGGGUCGUUCGUGAACGUUGACUUCGAUUCGUUCCAAAUUUAACUCUCGGGGCAUAAUAGAACAAUCAUAAUUUAGCUCUUUACUAUUGUUCGAUAAAAUGAGAAAAAGUACUGGUUGCAGAAAUUUAUACUGUUAGGGAGCAAGUGAGUAGUCUAAUGUUGUUCCGAUUUUGGUUUUUGGGAAGUUGACGUCGCAUACGUUCCAACUUUACACUCUCGGCUUAAGCGAACAAUUUAUUAGGUUUUACAUCUUUGUUCGAUUAACACGAGAAAAAGUACUCGUUGCAACAAAUUGUUGUGUCUAGGGCGCACUGAGUAGGUCUAAUGUUUUUCGGUUUUGGUUCUUGUUAACGUUGACAUCGAUUCGUUCCAGAAUUUACACUCUCGGGCCAUAAUAGGAACUAUAUAAUUAGCUAUGUUUUACUCUGCUUGUUCGAUAAAAAUGACGAAAAAGUAUGUUGCAAAUUUUUCUGUUAGGGGCGCAAGGAGUAGUUAAUGUUGUUCCGAUUUUGGUUUUUUUAAACGUUGACAUCGCAAUUCGGUUCCAACUUUACACUCUCGGGGCUUAAUCGAACGCAAUUUACUGUAGGUUUCUUACUCUUUGGUUCGAUUAAAUGAGGAAAAAUAACUGUUUGCAAAAGUUAACUGUUAGGCGCAACUAAGUAGUCUAAUGUUGUUCCUGUUUUGGCUCUUGUGAACGUUGACUUCAUUCGUUCCAAAUUACACUCUCGGGGCAUAAUAGACAAAUAUAAUUAGCUUUUACUCAUUGUUUCGAUAAAAUGAGAAAAUGUACUGGUUAGAAAUUCUAUACUGUUUAGGAGCAAAGUGAGGUAGUUAAUGUUGUUCCGUGUUUGGUUUUGGUGAACGUUGACGCUCGAUUACGUUCCAACUUUACACUCUCGGGGCUUAAGCGAAACAAUUUAAUUUGGUUUUACUCUUUGUUCGAUUAAAACGAGAAAAAUGUACUCGUUGCAAAAGCUUGUGUGUGGUUAGGCGCAACUGAGUAGUCUAGAUGUUGGUUCCGUUUUGGUCUUGUUGAACGUUGACAUCGAUUUCGCCCCCCGCCCCUUCCAAUUACACUCUCGGGCAUAUAGAACUAUAUAAUUAGUUUUACUCUUUGUUCGAAUAAAAUGAAAAGUACUCUUGCAAAUUUAUUCGUACUUAGGGCGCAAGUGGAGUAGUCAAUGUUGUUCGAUUUGGUUCUCGUGAACGUGGACACUCGGUUCGUCCAAUUUACACCUCUCGGGGCAUAAUAGAACAAUAUAAUUAGCUUUUACUCACAUUGUUCGAAUAAAAUCGAGAAAAGUACUGGUUUGCAAAUUUUAGUACUUUUAGGAAGGGCAAGUGAGUAGUCUAAUGUAUUUUCCGAUUUUGUGGUUUUUGUUGAACGUUGAGCAUCGAUUCGUCAACUUUACACUCCUGGGCUUAAACGACAAUUUAUGUUAGGUUUUUACCAGUCGCCCUGUAAUCGAUUGAAGAUAAAGAAAAAUCUUCAAAGUUCUGUUAAGGGCGCAAAAAGUGAGUAUUCUAAUGUUGUUCCUGUUUUGGCUCUUGUGAACGUUGACUUCGAUUCGUUCCAAAUUUAUACUCUCGUUGGCAUAAUAGAGAACAAUAUAAUGUAGCUUUUUACUCCAUUGUUCGAUAAAAUGAGAAAAAGUACUCGGUUGCAAAUAUUAUACUGUGUAGGGAGCAAGUGAGUAGUCUAAUGUUGUUCCGAUAUUGGUUUUUGUGAACGUUGACGUCGAUACGUUCCAACUUUUACACUCUCGGGGCUAAGGGGAACAAUUUAAUUAGGUUUUACUCUGUUGUCGAUUAAACGAGAAAAAGACGAAUCGAUGUCAACGUUCACAAGAACCAAAACCGGAACAACAUUAGACUACUCAGUUGCGCCCUAACAGUAUAAAUUUGCAAGGAGUUUUUUUUCUCAUUCUAUCGAACAAAGAGUAAAAACUAAUUAUAUUGUUCUAUUAUGCCCCGAGAGUGUAAAUUUCGAACGAAUCAAUGUCAAAAUUCACAAGAACCAAAACCGAAGCAACAUUAGACUACACAGUUGCGCCCUAACUGUAUAACUUUGCAACGAGUACUUUUUCUCAUUCAAUCAAACAAAGAGUAAAACCUAAUUGUAUUGUUCUAUUAUUCCCCGAGAGUGUAAUAUUGGAACGAAUCGAUGUCAACGUUGACAAGAACCAAAACCAGAACAACAUUAAACUACUCGGUUGCGCCCUAACAGUAUAACUUUGCAACAAGUACUUUUUCUCACUCUAUCGAACAAAGAGUAAAAACUAAUUAUAUUGUUCUAUUUCACCCCGAGAGUGUAAAUUUUGAACGAAUCGAUGUCAACUUUCACAAGAACCAAAAUCGGAACAGCAUUAGACUACUCAGUUGCGCCGUAACAGUAUAACUUUGCAACGUGUACUUUUUCUCAUUCAAUCGAACAAAGAGUAAAAACUAAUUAUAUUGUUCUAUUAUGCCCCGAGAGUACAAAUUUCGAUCGAAUCGAUGUCAACGUUCACAAGAACCAAAACCGGAACAACAUUAGACUACUCAGUUGCGCCCUAACAAUACAACUUUGCAACGAGUACUUUUUCUCAUUCUAUCGAACAAAGAGUAAAAGCAAAUUAUAUUGUUCUAUUAUGCCCCGAGAGUGUAAAUUUCGAACGAAUCGAUAUCAAUGUUCACAAGAAUCAAAACCGGAACAACAUUAGAUUACUCAGUUGCGCCCUAACGGUAUAACUUUGCAACGAGUACUUUUUCUCAUUCAAUCGAACAAAGAGUAAAAUCUAAUUAUAUUGUUCUAUUAUGCCCCGAGAGUGUAAAUUUCGAAUGAAUCGAUGUCAACAUUAACUAGAACCAAAACCGGAACAACAUUAAACUACUCAGUUGCGCUCUAACAGUAUAACUUUGCAACAAGUACAUUUUCUCAUUCUAUCGAACAAAGUGUAAAAGCUAAUUAUAUUGUUCUAUUAUGCCCCGAGAGUCUAAUUUCGAACGAAUCGAUGUCAGCAUUCACAAGAACCAAAAUCGGAACAACAUUUGACUACACAGUUGCGCCCUAACAGUAUAACUUUGCAACGAGUACUUUUUCUUAUUCAAACAAACAAAGAGUAAAAACCUAAUUAUAUUAUUCUAUUAUACCCCGAGAGUGUAAUAUUGGAACAAAUCGAUGUCUACGUUCGCAAGAACCAAAAUCGGAACAACAUUAGACUACUCAGUAGCGGCNUUCACAAAAACCAAAAUCGGAACAAAUUAGACAACUCACUUGCAUCGUAACAGUAUAAAUUUGCAACCAGUACUUUUUCUCAUUUUUUCGAAAAAAUAGUAAAAACUAAUUAUAUUGUUCUAUUAUGCCCCAAGAGUGUAAAUUUGGAACGAAUUGAUAUCAACGUUCACAAGAACCAAAAAAGGAACAACAUUAGACUAUUCAGUUUCGCCCUAAAAGUAUAACUUUGCAACGAGUACUUUUUCUCAUUUUAUCAAAUAAAGAGUAAAAGCUAAUUAUAUUAUUCCAUUAUGCCCCGAGUGUGUAAAUUUGGAACGAAUCGAUGUCAACGUUCACAAGAACCAAAACAGGAACAACAUUAGACUACACAGUUGCGUCCUAACAGUAUAACUUUGCAACGAGUACUUUCUCUCAUUUAAUCGAACAAAGAGUAAAACCUAAUUAAAUUGUUCGAUUAAGCCCCGAGAGUGUAAAUUUGGAACGAAUCGAUGUCAACAUUCACAANNNNNNNNNNNNNNNNNNNNNNNNNNNNNNNNNNNNNNNNNNNNNNNNNNNNNNNNNNNNNNNNNNNNNNNNNNNNNNNNNNNNNNNNNNNNNNNNNNNNNNNNNNNNNNNNNNNNNNNNNNNNNNNNNNNNNNNNNNNNNNNNNNNNNNNNNNNNNNNNNNNNNNNNNNNNNNNNNNNNNNNNNNNNNNNNNNNNNNNNNNNNNNNNNNNNNNNNNNNNNNNNNNNNNNNNNNNNNNNNNNNNNNNNNNNNNNNNNNNNNNNNNNNNNNNNNNNNNNNNNNNNNNNNNNNNNNNNNNNNNNNNNNNNNNNNNNNNNNNNNNNNNNNNNNNNNNNNNNNNNNNNNNNNNNNNNNNNNNNNNNNNNNNNNNNNNNNNNNNNNNNNNNNNNNNNNNNNNNNNNNNNNNNNNNNNNNNNNNNNNNNNNNNNNNNNNNNNNNNNNNNNNNNNNNNNNNNNNNNNNNNNNNNNNNNNNNNNNNNNNNNNNNNNNNNNNNNNNNNNNNNNNNNNNNNNNNNNNNNNNNNNNNNNNNNNNNNNNNNNNNNNNNNNNNNNNNNNNNNNNNNNNNNNNNNNNNNNNNNNNNNNNNNNNNNNNNNNNNNNNNNNNNNNNNNNNNNNNNNNNNNNNNNNNNNNNNNNNNNNNNNNNNNNNNNNNNNNNNNNNNNNNNNNNNNNNNNNNNNNNNNNNNNNNNNNNNNNNNNNNNNNNNNNNNNNNNNNNNNNNNNNNNNNNNNNNNNNNNNNNNNNNNNNNNNNNNNNNNNNNNNNNNNNNNNNNNNNNNNNNNNNNNNNNNNNNNNNNNNNNNNNNNNNNNNNNNNNNNNNNNNNNNNNNNNNNNNNNNNNNNNNNNNNNNNNNNNNNNNNNNNNNNNNNNNNNNNNNNNNNNNNNNNNNNNNNNNNNNNNNNNNNNNNNNNNNNNNNNNNNNCCAAAACAGGAACAACAUUAGACUACUCAGUUGCGCCCUAACAGUAUAACUUUGCAACGAGUACUUUUUCUCAUUUAAUCGAACAAAGAGUAAAACCUACUUAAAUUGUUCGAUUAAGCCCCGAGAGUGUAAAGUUGGAACGAGUCGAUGUCAACGUUCACAAAAACCAAAACUGGAACAACAUUACACUACUCACUUGCACCCUUACUGUAAGAAAGUGAAUUCUAGAAAUCCGAGGAUUUGACUUCGUUUAGAAUCGACUAAUCGUCGAGUGUGUAAGCUUCGGAAAGUCCGAAGGUGAUUAUAAUGCCUAAAGUGCAUUAAGGAAGAGUCCGCGAGAGCACCAGUGCGAAAUCUGCACUGGAGCAGAAUUGCUCUCGGGGACCGGUCCCUCCAGAGGGACCGGUCCCAUCAGGCUGGGCUGCGGGGAUCCUCGAGGCGACCGGUCCUUGGUGGGCGAAGACCGGUCGCCGAACGUUAGCCCAGCGAGAAUAGCUGAAAUUUGGCUAAGUCCCGAAAAUCUGACUCUCAGGAACCGGUCUCUCGAACAAGGACCGGUCUCCCGGGGACCGGUCUCUCAGGCAAGGACCGGUUCCCGAACGCGAAAUCCCUUGCCCGAGUGGAGGGCUCUCGGGGACCGGUCUCCCCGAGCUGGGACCGGUCCCUCACUGCGAAAAUGCCCAGUGAGGGCUGGUUCAGAAGAUGAAAAGUUGAGGAGGCUAUUUGCAAAAUGGCCUUUGAUAGAGGCUGGGGGACCUCUCUUCCUCUCAUUUGCUCUCUCACCCUCUCACUCUCUUUCCCUCUCUCUCUUUCUAGAAAGAAAAGAAGGAGAAGAAGAAUGAGAGGAAGAAAAGAAAGGAAAAGAAGAAGAAGAGGAAGGAGAAGACAAAGAAGAAGAAGAAGAUCAUCUUCUACCCUCUCUCCUUCAAGCUAGAGCAAGCUUGGAGCUUGGUUUAGAGGUAAACCUCAAACCCAUCCAUGGUGGAUUUCUUGAGAUUGGAUUUUAUUGCUUAGAAAUGGUUCGAAUGGAACCUAGAGGAGAUAAAUAGAUGGUUCGGGCUCGCAAUUGAAGCUCGCACCACGGAUUUCCUCACCAUUGCUAACCUAGGGCACAGAUUUAGGAUUUUUGGAAAUCUAGGGUUUUGAUCUAUUUUGAUGGUUGUAAACCUAAUUGCUAGGUCCCUGAACGCGUUGGCGAAGACGGUUUGUCGAUCCGACGAGCGAGUGCGGAGAAAUCGCCGAAUCGGGUACUUGAGGGCUCGCUUCGCUUUGAGGAGUCGAAGCGACGUGCAAAGACCGCAGCGUCGAGUUUUCUAUCGUCACGGCGCUACCAAGAGGUGGGUGGUGUCCAUCCCGAAGCAAUCGGGCUCCCUUUUAUGUCUUAGUAUUUUGAGAUCUUGCAUCCUGUGUUUACAUGUAUUGUAGGAUGGUGUGCAUUGCCUUUCCUUAUGCUUUCCUAGCUGAUACCAUGUUAUGCAUUAGUUGCUGGAUAUAGAGGAUUGAUGAGGAUUGGGUCGAGACUUGUAAUCCUAUAGUGCAGCGGUGAAAGAAUGAUGCAAUAGCUGAAACAAAGAACGAGUGUCAUCUAGUUUUAAUAAACAAAGAACAAGUGGCAUCUAGUUGUAAUAAACAAAGAACGAGUGGCAUCUAGUUGUAAUAAACAAAAAACGAGUGGCAUGUGUGAGUUGUAGCGUAUAUGAAACCCAUUGACUAUGGUGAUAGUAACCCUAACGGAUAGGGCACUCUUGAGGUGGGAGAAUUGGAUCAUACUCAUUGUCUGCUCCCGACUUGUGAUGGUCGCUCCACACAAGUAGUGUGCUCCGGAGUCGGUCACGAGGGAUAGCCUAUGUGGGGUCCCGUGGGAUAGGGAUGGCCUAUUUGGGGUCCCGAGGGAUAGCCUAUGUGGGGUCACGCAGACGGUCUCGGAUUCGUAGUAUCGAGACGGCUAUGUGAGUAGUAGGCGGAUCCUUGAAUGAGCCACGAGAUCAAUGAAUAAGUAAAUAGCUUUACUUCUUGGACAUAUGAAGAGUUAGUUGAUUAUCUAUUUCAUUGUGCAUGCAUCCAUCAUAUACAUGAUUCGGGCACAGUAGAGUAGUUUACUAUCUGUUUCUACAGCUUUUAUAUCUAUCUAUCUGUUUAUCUACUCGUGCCCACUUGGACCUAGUGGGGAGACCGGCGGAGUCGGCGACCAAACCCACUGGGAACUAUGGAAGAUAGUUCUCACCCCACUCUUUUCAGGUUCGGGCUCGGACGAGCACGAGGAUCGGGGUAAGGGCUUAGCGCCCUAGUUGCUUAGCGCCCUAGUUGUAUUAAGUUGAAUGAAUGUAAUAGAUAGAACUUUCUCUCUUUAUUUACUUAUAUGCCUCAUACUUGGAUCUUGCUCUUAGUUGUUAGCACUGGUGGUGCUCCUUGUGAUCAUGUAUUUAUGAAUUGAUUCCUGGGUAAAUUCUUAUAUAUGAUCAGUUGGUUAGCCUUCGGCGGACAGGGGAGGUCCUGUCUGUUCGGAGUAUGUUCGACGCGCCCGGACCGGACCAAAUUGGUAGCGGUCUCGGGACGUGACACUUACAGUACAAAUUUGCAACUAGUACUUUUUCCCAUUCUAUCGAGCAAAGAGUAAAACCAAAUUAUAUUGUUCUAUUAUAACCCGAGAGAGUAAAAUUGGAACGAAUCGUUGUCAACAAUGACCAGAACCAAAACUGGAACAAUAUUAGACUACUCACUUGCGCCCUAACAGUAAAAAUUUGCAACGAGUACUUUUUCUCAUUUUAUCGAACAAAGAGUAAAAGCUAAUUAUAUUGUCCUAUUAUGCCCCGAGAGUGUAAAUUUGGAACAAAUCGAUGUCAACGUUCACAAGAACCAAAACCGGAACAACAUCAGACUACUCAGUUGCGCCCUAACAGUAUAACUUUGCAACGAGUACUUUUUCUCAUUUAAUCGAACAAAGAGUAAGACCUAAUUAAAUUGUUCGAUUAAGCCCCGAGAGUGUAAAGUUAGAACGAAUCGAUCGAUGUCUGUUAAGGAUUUUAUAGGUUGGCGAAUUUCGUAAAGUGUUUGGAGUCUUGAAGAGUUGAUCGCAGAAGUUUUUGAGAAGAGAUUCAAAUUGGAGGACGAAGACUCAUUCGGAAAGAUCGACACCUAAGGUAUGNCGAGAGUGUAAAUUUGGAACGAAUCGAUGUCAACGUUCACAAGAACCAAAAUCGGAACAACAUUAGACUACUCAGUUGCGCCCUAACAGCAUAACUUUGGAACGAGUACUUUUUCUUAUUUAAUCGAACAAAGAUUAAAACCUAAUUAAAUUGUUCGAUUAAGCCCCGAGAGUGUAAACUUGGAACGAAUUGAUGUCAACGUUCACAAAAACCAAAAUCGGAACAACAUUAGACUACUCACUUGCACCCUAACAGUAUAAAUUUGUAACCAGUACUUUUUCUCAUUUUAUCGAACAAAGAGUAAAAGCUAAUUAUAUUGUUCUAUUAUGCCCCGAGAGUGUAAAUUUGGAACGAAUCGAAGUAAACGUUCACAAGAACCAAAACCGGAACAAAGUUAGACUACUCAGUUGAGCCCUAACAGUAUAACUUUGCAACCAGUACUUUUUCUCAUUUAAUCGAACAAAGAGCAAAACCAAAUUAUAUUGUUCUAUUAUGCCCCGAUAGUGUAAAUUUGAAACGAAUCGNNNNNNNNNNNNNNNNNNNNNNNNNNNNNNNNNNNNNNNNNNNNNNNNNNNNNNNNNNNNNNNNNNNNNNNNNNNNNNNNNNNNNNNNNNNNNNNNNNNNNNNNNNNNNNNNNNNNNNNNNNNNNNNNNNNNNNNNNNNNNNNNNNNNNNNNNNNNNNNNNNNNNNNNNNNNNNNNNNNNNNNNNNNNNNNNNNNNNNNNNNNNNNNNNNNNNNNNNNNNNNNNNNNNNNNNNNNNNNNNNNNNNNNNNNNNNNNNNNNNNNNNNNNNNNNNNNNNNNNNNNNNNNNNNNNNNNNNNNNNNNNNNNNNNNNNNNNNNNNNNNNNNNNNNNNNNNNNNNNNNNNNNNNNNNNNNNNNNNNNNNNNNNNNNNNNNNNNNNNNNNNNNNNNNNNNNNNNNNNNNNNNNNNNNNNNNNNNNNNNNNNNNNNNNNNNNNNNNNNNNNNNNNNNNNNNNNNNNNNNNNNNNNNNNNNNNNNNNNNNNNNNNNNNNNNNNNNNNNNNNNNNNNNNNNNNNNNNNNNNNNNNNNNNNNNNNNNNNNNNNNNNNNNNNNNNNNNNNNNNNNNNNNNNNNNNNNNNNNNNNNNNNNNNNNNNNNNNNNNNNNNNNNNNNNNNNNNNNNNNNNNNNNNNNNNNNNNNNNNNNNNNNNNNNNNNNNNNNNNNNNNNNNNNNNNNNNNNNNNNNNNNNNNNNNNNNNNNNNNNNNNNNNNNNUCUCAAAAGGACUCCACAAAAGAGAAGAAAAGCGGUGAAGGUCAAAUUCAAUGCUACAAGUGUAGGGGCUUUGGCCAUAUAGCAUCUGACUGUCCAAAUAAAAAAUCGUUGAAGAAGAAAGCUAUGCAAGCUAUGACUUGGGACGACUCCUCAUCUGACGAUUCUACUUCGAGUGAAGAGGAUGUAAAUGCCACAGCAUUGUUCGCACAGGAUUCAACCUUCAUGUGUCUAGCAUCUACUGACUCGAUUUCUACGACAUCUAUACAAGAGAAGUCAUCUUCGGAGAACUCAUCGGAUGAGGAAUCGGACGAAGAUGACAUGGUCGCAGCAUAUCAACAAUUAGUUGUUGAAUCAAAGAAGAUGGCUAAACAUAACAAGAGACUGCGGCGAAGUCUGCAUGAGUUGGAACAAGAAAAUUCAAAAUUGGUCUCGUUAACAAAGGAUCUAGAGCAAGAAAGAGACGGGUUGACCAAGGCUUACAACUCUUUGCUUGAGAAGUGUUCGUUACUUGAAAAAGAAAAGGAGACUCAGGCGGAGAACAUCAAUUAUCUUACCAAGCAAAACUCAGAAGCUAGAGAAGCAAAUAUGGAAUUCACCAAGACGAUCAUUCAACUGAAGUCGGAUUUAAACCAAUUUUCGUCUGGCUCGAGCAAACUAGGCAAGAUGCUUGGACUUUGUCAAACAAAUAAACUUGGACUUGGUUAUGAACAGACUUAUCUUGAUCAAGCUAUGAAGAAAGACGAUGGAAAUUCGUCAAUGGCCGUUCCUAAACUUUAUGGUAAGUUUGUCUCUCCUAAAAACAAUUUGGCUAACAAAACUUGUCAUAUUUGUGGUGUUUUAGGACACAUAAAGAAAUUCUGCUACCAAAAGGGAAAGAGCCCAAUAGCACCCUUGAAAGAUGAUCCUAAAACGACAACGAAGUCAAUUGUGACUCCAAAGAAGAUAGAACAAAAGAAGAGCCAAAUUUGGACACCAAAUACUCCGAAGCCAAAGGCAAAACAAGCAUGGAAACCAAAGAAGGAGGAUAUGAAGAGGAAGUCAAUUCAAAUCGUCGACAAGCCACGAUCAACAAAAGCAAGCGAACUGACACAACCCAAAACACGUAAGGUUUGGGUGCUCAAAGGUGAACUCUUCCCAUGCCUAGUCAUUCACACUUCACUUCAUGCUUACGAUAACUCAUCAUGGUAUCUGGAUAGUGGCUGUUCCCGUCACAUGACCGGAGAUAAAAAUUGGUUUACUUCUUUGACCAAAAUCUCCGGAGGACUUGUUGUUUUUGGGGACGGUCGAUCGUAAAAAAUUGUUGGAAAAGGAACAGUGACUAUCUCAGAUGGCCCUACAUUGAACGAUGUUUUUUAUGUUGAGGGGCUAAAAUCUAAUCUCGUAAGCAUAAGUCAACUGUGUGAUGAUGGGUAUUCUGUGAAUUUUUCGGAUAAAGAAUGCCAUGUGACUCGUAGUGACAAUCUGUUUUUAAAGGGCAUUAGAUCUCAGAACAAUUGUUAUGUAGUUCCUAGUUCGGCCACUGAACAUUGUAACCUAGCGUCAUUAGAAACUGAAACUUUAUGGCAUGAACGACUAGGCCACAUCAACUUUAAGGAGCUAUCUAAGAUAACGAAGAAGGAGGUAGUUAGAGGUGUACCUAAGAUUGACUUUAAAGAGAACACUGUGUGUGGGGGUUGCCAAUUAGGGAAACAAACUAGAUCCACACAUAAGAACUUGAACCACUUAGGGACAACUAAACCUCUAGAGUUACUUCACAUGGACUUGAUGGGAUCAUCUAGGAUUCAAAGUUUGGGUGGUAAACGUUAUAUUUUGCUUAUUGUUGAUGAUUUUACUCGCUAUGUAUGGAGUGCUUUCUUACGAGAAAAAGCUGAUACUUUUAAUUCUUUUUCUGAAAUCUGUCUUCGUCUUAUGACUGAACGAAAUGAUAAAAUUAUACGCAUUCGAAGUGAUCAAAGGGGGGAAUUCAUAAAUUCCAAAUUUGUUGAUUUCUGUGUUUCAAACGGUAUAAAACAUGAAUUCUUGGCUCCCUAUACACCCCAACAAAAUGGAGUGGUUGAACGUAAGAAUCGGGUUGUACAGGAGAUGGCUCGUGUUAUGCUUCAUAGUAAGAAAAUUGCUUUACAUUUUUGGGCCGAAGCAGUUAACACAGCUAUCUAUGUUAUCAAUCGGAUUUAUGUGCGUCCGGGCACUUUAAAUACGCCUUAUGAACUUUGGGUUGGUAGGAAACCUAACAUUAAAUACUUUCGUGUCUUCGGGAGUAAAUGUUUUAUCCUUCGGAAUCGUGAAAAUCUUGGAAAGUUUGACUCUCGAAGUGACGAAGGCAUAUUUCUGGGUUAUUCUACUACAAGUCGUGCUUAUCGUGCGUACAAUUUACGAUCUAAGACGGUGAUAGAGUCGAUCAAUAUAAAAGUAGAUGAAGCUUCAUAUGUUAGUUCUUCUAUGAAUGGUUCUUCUAACUCUUUGAUGAAUGAUGAUGAUAAUGAUUCUCUGUUUGUAAUGCCUGUAAAUGAUGAUGUUUCUAUACCUGAUAAUUUCAUUGCAUCGUCUGAAAAUAUUGCAUCAAAUGAUUCAUCUGAGCCACAAAACCCCACGUCUGAAAUCCCUAGCAUAUCUCCUGAAACUACUCCCCUGAUAGAGUCAAGAGAUCAUCCUCUAUCAAAUGUGAUUGGGGAUCCUAACGUUGGUGUGCGAACAAGAAGCCAGUUACUAUGUGAAUAUGCAUGUUAUGUUUCUUUGAUCGAGCCAAGGAAUGUCGAUGAAGCUCUUUGUGAUGAAUAUUGGAUUAAUGCUAUGCAAGAAGAACUUGGUCAAUUUGUUCGAAAUGAUGUAUGGGAAUUGGUGCCACGUCCUGAGCAACAGUAUAUAAUUGGUACCAAGUGGAUUUUUAAGAAUAAGAAAAAUGAGGAUGGUACCAUUGUUCGAAACAAAGCAAGACUAGUUGCUCAAGGCUACUCCCAAGUUGAGGGAAUAGAUUUUGAGGAAACUUUCGCCCCGGUUGCUCGUCUUGAAUCAAUCCGUAUUUUGUUUGCGAUUGCCUGUCAUUUUAAAAUUACUCUGUUUCAAAUGGAUGUUAAAAGUGCUUUUCUAAAUGGUUUACUAAAGGAGGAAGUCUAUGUUGAACAACCAAAAGGUUUCAUAGAUUCAAAAUUUCCUAAUCAUUGUUUUCGUCUGAAAAGGGCACUUUAUGGUCUUAAACAGGCUCCGCGGGCAUGGUACGAGCGUUUGACAAAAUUUCUUUUGGAAAAGGGCUACAACUGAGGGGGAGCGGAUAGAACUCUGUUUGUUAAACACUCGAAAGAUAAUUUCAUCGUGGCACAAAUUUAUGUUGACGACAUCGUCUUUGGAGCAACUAAGGAUAAAGAUGCCAGUGAUUUUGCAAAGCUGAUGACGAGCGAAUUUGAGAUGUCAAUGAUGGGAAAGCUUAACUAUUUUCUUAGACUUCAAGUCAAACAAACAAAAGAUGGAAUACACUUGUGUCAAUCCAAAUAUGCAAAAGAUUUGGUUAAGAAAUUUGGAUUGGAUAACGCAAAGGAUUUUGACACUCCAAUGGGUACAAGUAAUAAAGGACUUGGAGUGAAUUCGAAAGGACCAAGUGUAGAUGAGAAACUAUACAGAAGCAUGAUUGGGAGCCUAUUGUACUUGACUGCAAGUAGACCAGAUAUUGCAUUCAGCGUUGGAAUUUGUGCUCGCUAUCAAGCUAAUCCUAAGGAAAUUCAUCUCAAAGCGGUCAAAAGGAUUAUUCGAUACGUUAAAGGUACAACCGCUUAUGGUCUCUUGUAUCCUAUGGGAACAUCUCUUGAUUUGAUUGGAUACUCGGAUGCAGACUGGGCUGGCUCUGCCGAUGAUCGGAAGAGCACUAGUGGAGCGUGUUUCUAUCUCGGACAUUGUCUUGUUGCUUGGCACAGCAAGAAACAGAACUGUAUUGCACUAUCCACUGCCGAGGCUGAGUAUAUUUCUGCUGGUAGUUGCUUUACUCAGUUGUUAUGGAUGAAGAGUUUGCUGAGCGACUAUCGGAUCCCUUCCUCCACUCUUACUAUUCUUUGUGAUAACACAAGUGCAAUUAAUAUUUCUAAAAACCCUGUUUUACAUUCUCGAACAAAACAUAUUGAACUAAGAUAUCAUUUUUUAAGAGAACUGGUAGAAUCAAACGUUUUACAACUUGAAUACAUUUCAACUGAAAAUCAACUUGCCGAUAUUCUAACCAAACCUUUGGAUCAAAAGCGUUUUUCUGCAUUUAAGAAAGGCAAUUGGUAUGAAUUCUUCAAUCUAGAUGUAUUCUAUUGAGCCACAGAUCAUGUGCAUGGUGCAUAUUUUGUUUCUUUUCUUGCAUGAUUUCAGUGUUUGACAGUAGACUGAAUUUCGAGAAUAAUCUUGCUGUUUUGGGACAUGAAUUGGUCUGUGACUUGAAUUAUUUCAUAUUUAUUUUUUGAUUGAUCACUGUCAGGGUUAUUCUCUAUUGACAUAUUUUUGAACGAUUAAAUCUUUGAAAUUCUAUUUAACAUAUUGAAUCAAAUCAAGCACCUCAUGCUUUGAACUUUGAAUAUUGCAUUUGUUUGUUUGAUUAUUAGUUUUGAGAUGAAUAAAUCUUUCUCUAUUUUUGAAAUUUCGAUAAUAUUUUUGCCUUGAGGGUUGCACUAAUUUAGGGGGAGUCUUGCCGAUUUUAGCUAUGAAAAAUUUAUGAAAUUCAAGAUGUGGAAAGAGUUACAUCCCUGCUGGGAGUGUGAAAACUACCACCACAUGGAGGAAAGAGCUACCACCCCGGUCGUCCGGUCAGUGUGUGCAGCUACCACAUGAUGAUCAAUAUGUCUCUAUGAGCUAAAAGCCAAUAAAGAAUAAAUUAAUAUGAGAUGUUGUGGAGAUGGUAAAAUUAUAAUGCUAUGUUUAAUACAUCUCCUAGGCGAUAUAAGGUGGUUUGUUAAAAGAUGCUCAAAGAGCCACUCUUAUCUCGAAUUAUGUGCAUAACUCAAGUUGAGAAUAUUCUUUUAAUUUCAUGAUUAUGAGAUUUAUUUAUUCAAUUUCUUAACAAAUAUGAUAAUAAAAUGAUACAAUUAAUUCCUAGAUAUUGCAUGAUGUGUGGAAUUUAUUUGAUACUUAUCAAGAAUUUUAUUUGAUUUUCGGAUCAACAAUAUUUGACAAAUUGAAUAUCUUUGAGAUUGAUUUUCAAAAUUUAUUUAUGAAAUUUUAUUGGAAGUCUUUGGGGAUGGAGAUUAUGUAUUUUUGAUGUUGGAUAUGUUGAGGAUAUUAUAUAAAAUUUUUGAAAAUUUUGGACGAAAAAUGGAUGUUUCGGUUUUGGCACUGGGACCGGUCCCAGACUUGGAGAGACCGGUCCCUCCGCCCGAACCGAUAUAAGGGUUUUUGCGGUUUGUUUUGUUUACUUUACCAAUUUCGUUCAAACCUCUCCCCAGGGUCUCUAAUAUCUCUAGGGUGUUUUUGCUUCCAUUCUGCAUCAAUCUACACUUGAUUUUGGUAUGAUUCUCGGAUUUUAUUUCAUUUUUGUCUUAUAAUCCGAUUUUAUGAUUUAUUUUUCAAUUUUUGGAGGAUUUAUUCUCAUUAUGUUGUUAGAUCUUUUCAUUUUUGCCCUGAUCUUACCUCUAAACAUGUUAGUCAACAUUUUCAUGCAUUAUUUCAUAUUUUGAUACAAUUGUUUGGUUGUUUUUGCUAUGUUUUCUUCAUCAAGACCUAAUUUUUUCAAAUUUUUCGAAAAUUGAGAUUUUACUGAUUUUUGAUGCUUGAUUUGUCUAUGAUUUUCAUGGUUAUGUGGCCCUAGGAUUAUCUAGUAUAUUACAUAUCAAUUUGCUAAAAUUUUUGGAAUCACAAAUCGAUUGUUCUUAUGUUCAAAAUAUAUAAAUCAUUGUGUUUGACAGGGGUUUCUUCGAAAAUGUACUCGUGGCUACUUGUUCUUGUGGUUCUUAUGGCUGGCGGUGGUCGUGGAAGUAAACGACAGCGCUCAAAAGCUAAAAAGCCGGUUGAGUAUCAACCGGAUGAUGAAGAGAGCGAAUAUGCUCUUGGGGACGAUUCUGAGGAGGAUGAACCGGAUUGGGAGACCUUCGUUCCUGAGGAAGUAGCUAAGGAUAAGGAUACUGGGAAGGGCAAAGGAAAAGGAAAAGCUGUGGAUAAAGGCAAAGGAAAGGCAACUGAGCGUCCUAGUCGUCGUAAGUCCGGGGGUGUUGAAAUUCGAGAACCGGGCUCUGAACCACCACGUCACAGUCUACAGGAUGUUCCAUCUAAUCGACGGUCAAUGUACUCGUCGAAACACUGCAUUGGUGAGCGAGAUGUUGGGGUGGCCAGUAUCAUUAGUUGUGUGCCGGGUUUUCAGGAUUUAUUUGAACAGGGAAAUCUUCAUCAGAUUUGUGAUUUCCCGGAGCAAACCGGUUAUUGCUUGGAGUUGAUCAGAGAAUUUUACAUGAGAGCAGGUCACCUCAGUGACUCCGACGGCGGUCCGUACGUAUUUAAGACUUCCGUACGUGGUGUUGAGUUAUCCAUCACUCCUGAGACAAUAGCUUCGGUGCUAGAGAUGGAAGCUAAGACUGACGGAGUGGAGUAUCUGCAGGCCGGGUUCGACUCACUUCGCGAUUGGAACCGUGUCGUGAACACUAUUUGUAUGCCGGGUACUGAAUCAAACGGCAUUAUGGUUAUGUCCAAAGAUUUCAAAAUGGAGUACAGGUUUCUGAACUUUGUGGUUUGCUACAACAUCAUGCCUCUCGCGAACACGAAAAUCUUGAGAUGGGAUCGCAUUCUGUACAUGUAUCUCUUGGGUAGGCCGGAUAUUGUAAGUGCCAAAAAUAUUAACAUGAAUAUUCCGUUUCUGAUCUGGCGGAGAAUGGCAAAAGAUAUCAAGACUUCCGGACAAAAUGAGAGGUUACCAUUUCCUUUGAUAAUUAUGAGGAUUUUGCGACUUCGUGAGGUGGAUGUUCGGUGUACAUCAUACGAGCACAGUUUGGGUCGGAUCAAUGAAAGGACGUUUGUAAAGUCCUCGGUGCAGCUUCGUACGCCGUCUCAACGUGCUUCUUCCCCUCCUGCAGCUCCACCUCCUGCUACUGCUACUUCUUCACGUCCUUCUAUGGACAUUUCUGAGGAAGAUAUUUCCGUUUCAUCGGUGUAUCGCGAGCAGCAACGUCUAUCUGAGGAGCUUCAGAAGUUGUCUGCAGAACAAGCUGCGAUUCGUAAGGAUGUGAGCAAGAUGAAGCGCUUGUUGAAUAUGAUUUUUGACAAAUUGGGAUGUUGUCGGGCAGAUUUACCUCCAGGAGAUGAUUCUGACUAGGAGUUACCGAGCUUCUCCUUUUGUCGUUUUGGCGCUUUCUGACAAAAAGGGGGAGAUGGAUGGGAUGGUCUUAAUGAUGAUGAUGAUGCAUUAUUCUUGAUGUUUAGUUAGUUAAGAUGUUUAAUUAUGAACUAUGAUGCUUUAGGUGUCUGACUUAGUGCUUUAGGUGUUUGUGACUAUGAACUAUGAAUUAUGAACUAUGACUUGAUAGUUUGUUUGAUCUUGAUACUUGAAUCUUGAUUAUGCUUUGAGAAUGUUUUUGCAGGAAUAAUUCAAGACUUCAAGACUCCAUGUCUAAGUCAUAGAGUUUGUAUUAAGGUUGUAAAAGUGUAAAUUUUGUUUAUUGGAUUGAUCAUGCAGGAGAUUAUCGUUUGGUGAUUGCGAUGAUCUUCUUUUUAUGACUUAUUGGUUAUAUACGAACUUUGUGUUAUAUUUUGUCACGAAAUCGCCAAAGGGGGAGAUUGUUAAGGAUUUUAUAGGUUGGCGAAUUUCGUAAAGUGUUUGGAGUCUUGAAGAGUUGAUCGCAGAAGUUUUUGAGAAGAGAUUCAAAUUGGAGGACGAAGACUCAUUCGGAAAGAUCGACACCUAAGGUAUGAAGAAAAGAUCAUUUGUGGUGAAGAUACAUAAUUAGAAUAAGUUCAGAAGGCUUAGAUUGUUUUAAAACAACUUUUUUGAACUUUCAUAUAUUCUGGGACCGGUCUCUGAGAUGGAGAGACCGGUUCCCCUAAGGUCCUCACUGCGUAAACCAUAAUGCAACCGGUCCCCUGUGAUGAGAGACCGGUUCCCGAACCAUGGUGGUUCUGUCACGCAGCGAGGGACCGGUCUCAAGUUUGAGAGACCGGUUCCCGAACUAUGGAUUUUUGGUCACGCAGAGAGGGACCGGUUCCUCACUUGAGAAGACCGGUCUCUCACAGACCGGUCUCCUCGAGAGGACCGGUCUCUGAGGACGACACAGAUUUUUGAAAACGACUUUUUGCAAUUCUAGUCUACUUCUAAGUCUUCUAAACUUAUAAAUAAGCUAUGUGGGUCAUCAAAACGUUUAAGGCUUUGAAUAUUACUGAUUCUAAACCCUAGAAACUUAUUUUUCUCCGUUUAAUGCUUCGAUUCAUAUAAUGAGUUUUUAGCAAUCAACAUCGGCUUGAUUCUUCGUUUUUACUCGAUACUUCUUACGAGAAUAAAGUAGAUGGUUGAUUAAAGGUGAACCCUCAUAGCUUAUGGUUUUCAAAAGUUAAAUCACCACGAAUCAUCAAUUCAACAAGCUCCGGAAGGAGGUUCGGCGCGUGGAUCUCGUGUGAAGCCGAGGAUUCGGUGGACGCUUCGAGGAGUUGAGGCGUUGGCGCUGCGAGGAGUUGCAGCAAGGUCGAUUGGUGGAUUCCUAUCGAUCGAGGACCGGCAAAGAUCACCAUCAACGAGAAAUCGGUAAAUCGAGUCGUGUGUUUUUGUUGAAAUCACUUGUACUCAAGUUUUCUUAGUGAAUUUUCUUUGCGUGAUCGGUCCCGUGGGUUUUUCACUCCGAAUUGGAGUUUUCCCACGUUAAAUUCUCGGUGAGCUGUUUUAAUUCCCGCUAUUUUGUAUUGUUUGCAUCGAGACUUUCGAGCUUGCCGGAUUUACACCUAUUCACCCCCCUCUAGGUGUUACUUACCUUUUAGAUCCUCGGGAUUCAUAUCUUUCAAAAGUCAUUAACCUUUAUGAAUAUAUUAUGCAUAAGUUCUGUCAUGGCAACCAAGUAUGCUCUAAUGCAAAAGGAGACUAUUAAGUAAUACUACAUGUCUCAACACUAUGCUAAAAGCAUAUAAAUGUAAUUCAACUAUAAACCUAUCUAGUAGCGAUUAACCAUUCUCAACACCGUGUCGAUUUCCAUUUCCAAUUAAGGACCUACCCAAAGGUAGUCCAGCUUGUGCCGCCUAAGGGCCUGUGGUAGCCCAACAUCCCUACUCUUGGAAUGUGUCUGUCCCACUCGACCCCGUAGGCUUCUCAAUACCGCACGAGCGAACAUAAGUCGCGUAGGCUAACUCCGGAGUGCCGCUUGUAGGGAGCGACCCUCACAAGCAUGUGCGAAUGAGCACAAAUGGCAAGUAAGCAUAGUCCAAGUCUCAAAUAUCCAAUCCUCAUGUUUCUAACAUGUAUCAUAACUAGCAUCCCGAAGAUCUAGUCUAAGUCAUAAGAUGAAGUUCCAACAUUCAUUACGCCUAGUGCCCCUUGAUGACACUUAGACAAUCUAAUGUUCAACAUAUACCAAUCCCUCAAUGCUCUAACCACUAGGUUCACACAUGUCCCGAGCUCAAUGCCGCUUGAUGACAUUAGCUCUCCAAUUCACAUACAUUCUAGUUCGAUAGCUCUAUAUGGCAAUUUUUCAACUUUCAUGUCCCAAAUAAACUUGAGUUAAAUGCAUGAAUCCAAUCUCAUUUAACACUAUAGGAGCAUGGAACACUCUCAUAUAGAAUGCUAAGAGCAACUAUAGGCCUACAAGCUACUCUCUACUACAUAGAGUCCAAAAUUUCAUUAUCAUAUAACAUAGGCCUUUUAGCAUUCUAAAAUUCACAAUAAAUACAUAUAACAAGAAUAUGCAUGCUUUUUCAUUAACAAUACUUAAUUAAGCACAAAUGAGAAUUUCCAUUGUGUGGCUAGGUCAAACCACCGAACCGUCGCGUAGGGCCUCGUUUCGCCGAACAAAGUUGUCCCCGAGUCUCAAAAUACCCUAAAAGUAAUCAGCGAAGAGAUACGAGAGCAUUACGACCAACCAAGAGAUCAACAUUAACCUAGAAGCAAAAAGGGCCAAAAUUCACCUCAAGAGGAAAAUCUCUUCAAAGCUCCAAAAGAGAGCUAGAACCCUUCCAAUCCAAGCCCAAGAAGGUUCUAAACCAACUAAUUUAGGUCCAAAAGCCCUAGAUCAAAAAUGCCCAAAAUCAACCCUAAAUCUCAUUUCUAGGGUUCCAAGAGGCAAAAUCUAGCAAAACAAGAAUCAAGGGUAGAAUCAAAGUACUAACCUCUUUAGAUGCCUCAAAACAAGCUCCAAAUCUUCUAGGGUUGAAGAUUGGUCCACCACCAAGCCCUACAAGCAAGCUCCAAGCCUUGCAAAGGUGGGAAAGAGAGAAAGGGUUGAGCUCCAAGCUCCCUCAAGCUAGCUCCUCUUCUUCUUCUCCUCCUUCUUCUUCUUCUCUCUCUAGAAAGUGUAGGGAGAUGGUGAGAAUGAGAAAAUAAGAGAGGGAAGAGGAGGAAAUGGCUAAUAAGCCCAUCUAGUGUAACAAAAUCCGGAGAGGCCCCUCAAAAUUUCAAUAUUACCCAGCCCGGUCUGGGCAGUUUUCGCCCAGAGGGACCGGUCUCUCCCGAGCAGGACCGGUCUCUCGCUCUGCGAACCCAAAAAACCAACGUUCGGAACCUCCUCCUGCGUACCGGUCCUCUCUCUGCGAAGGCGCGCUCGGGGACCGGUCUCGCCCGCCAGGGACCGGUUGCCUCAGGGCUGCCACAACACUGUUCACUGGGGGACCGGUCUCUCCUUCCAGGGACCAGUCCCCAAGAGUAAAAACUCUCAGGACUUGUCCAGAAUUCCAGUUUUCGACCUUUUUAGGUCGGAAAACAUUCUACAACCCUCCACCAAGUGCGGAAAAGCUCGAAAUUCAUCCAAACACUCGAACCUCGCAAUUUGCAAAGGUCCAGUGUGUUACAAAGUCGGUCGCUUGUCUUCAUCAGACCCUAAGUUCACCUCGAUUAGUGGAUCUUGUAUCUCCAAUUUCUUUUCACCGACUUUGAUAGGCGAUUCUUCUAAGUUCAACUUGUUGGUUCACCUAUUUGCUACAUCCGAUAAAUCUUCAUCGGUUUCGCCUGCCGAUUUUAUCACUUCUUGCGAAUCGGUUUUAGCAGCCGAUUUCAUCAUUUCAUUAAUGGCCUUUUUGGCCUUCUCUUUGCUCACCACCUCUUCGGCCUUUUGGGCCGAAUUUAUCAUAUAGCCGAUCUUGUUGAUCGGCUCUUCUAGUCGAAGCUCCUCUAAAGCUUGGGUUCUUGAUCCUUUGCAUUCCAUUUUAACCAUUUUGGUGGCUCCUGGGCUGCCACCAAAGCUCCUUCAUCUUUAGCAAUGAUCAACUGGACUCCUUCUUAUGUGACUCUUACGAAGGAAAUUUGAUCCGGAACCGCGUCGGCCCAGUUAAUGUGGCCGACUUCCUCGGUGUUAAUGUCCACCAUUUGGGGCCGUCCCUCGGCCCAGAUUUCUUCAACUUUCUCUCUGAUCCACUGGAAUAACUGUCACGCCCCGGGACACAGCGGAAGCCCGCACGGCGUGUGUCCAGACCCGCCAUACGUCUAAAACAUAUAAGGCGUCUAAAACAAAACGAUAAUUGAGACAAUAAAUGAAAGCAUUUAGAAGUAUCAGAGCAAUAUACAUCAUCUAGAGACUAAAGCAAUAUGAAGAGUAGAGAGCUAAAACCACUAAAUAAACCAUAAAGUAGUACAACCAAAGAUCCAAAAAUAAGUGCUAAAAGAGUACAUAGGUGGUCUUUAUACAUAGUAACACAAAAACUCUCGCUCUACCAAAAUACAAAGAGAGUGAACCACCUAAGAGCAGAAAGUAAAUCCUCGCUAUCUAGCUAGCGAUCCCCUUGCCGCGGUCUCGUGCCUCCGCCAGUGCAGAGGGCUCUGAAAGGAUAAUAUAAAACAGAGGGCGUGAGAACUAUUAAAUAAUAGUUCCCAGUGGGCAAUUACUGACUUCAGUGAAAUGCACCACUAGGCCCGAAACUAAGCAAGAUAAGUAAAGCAGGUAAGAAUAAUAUGAAUAAAUAACUCGCUGAAAUGGAAGCUCAAUAUAGCAUGAAGUCACUACUUUCAUCAAUAAUAAUCUACCACAUGAUCCCUACUUAGCAUGGAUUUGCAUAAGUAAUAAUCUAUCACAUCAUCUCUACUUAGCAUGAAUUUGCAUAAGUAAGAAAGCAACUACUACAAGUAAGUGCACAAGAGUAUCCAACAUGUAAUUGCAUAAGUAUGCAACUAACCCAAUAUCCACAAUGUAAAUAGUAAAGAUGUCAAUAUUUACUAUUCUAGUCAAUGUCCAAAAGAUACAACAUGUCACCAGUAACCCAAUCCUGUGGAAGCUACCCAUAGGUAGUCUGGCCUGCGCCGUGCCAACAAUGGCCCCGUGGUAGUAAACAUCCCCACUCUAGGAAUGAGCCUCCCCCACGGCAUCCCAUUUUGGCGCCCAAUCCGGCACGGAUGAACAUAUGUCGCGAUGGCUAUCUCCGGAGUGCCGACUUGUAGGGAGCGACCCUCACAAGUAUGUGCGAAUGAGCACAAUGGCAUGCAAGUGAAUAAGUCCGUCUCAGGUCCUAGUGGUUCAUCACUGUUUCAUCGGAUCUAAAAUUCGGAAUACAACACAUGUCCCAACGGCCUGCCUCUAUGUCAUCGUGUCUAAAACACGGAAUAUAGUAACUGUCUCAAUGCCUAUCUCUAUGUCAUCAUGUCUAAAACAUGGAAUAUAGCAGAUUUUUGGUGGCCUAUCAUCAUGUCUCUAAGUUAUAGUUCAACAAUUUUCUAGUUCAAGUGCCCCUUUAUGGCACUUUUGCUUACUAAGUCAUAGCAUGGCAAUUAUGUUCAAGAGUACAUAAUUCUAGUCAUUUUCCACAUAAAAGACAUAUUUUCAAAUUGAAAUAGAGAAUACGUAGCACAUGCAUGCAUACUACUCAUAAGGCUCUACUACAUAGAAUGAAGUUUUCAUGAUACAUAAUGCAUGUGUUUUAAGCAUUCCAAAAUUCAUAUAAAUUAUACUCUUCAUGAAUAUGCAUGCAUUUAUAGUAUACGAAAACAUUUAACCACAUAGGAGGCAUUUCCUCCUAUAUCAAAGAAGCCAAACCCACCAAAGUCUCGCAACUCCUUCGUUUGCUCCGACGAAGGUGUCCGCUAGUCUUCUAGCACCCUAAGGGUGUAGAAACAAGAGUUAAACGAACCUCACGAAUAAAGCUAAGCUCAAACAUUAAGCUAUCCAAGCUAGGGCGGAGAAAACUCACCGUACGCGAAGGAACCUCUCUCGAUCUCCAAAAGGGAGCUAGAGUCCUUCAAAUCCAACCUAAAUCAAAGUUCUAAACCAAUUAAUUUGGUUCUAGAAGCUACAAAUCAAAAAUCCCCAAUUCUAACCCUAGAAUCCAAAAUUUAGGGUUUCCUCUAGCAAAAUCCAUCAAAACACGUAUCAAAAGGGAAAUACAUGUUACUAACUUUUCAAAAAGCUUCAAAACAAGCUCAAAGUCCUCAAGGGUUGAAGUUUGAUCCUUAAUCAAGCUCCAAUCCAACUCUCCAAGCUUCUCCAAUGGUGGUAGACCAACAAAAGGCAAGGAGGAGAAGAAAAGAAAGAUCAAAACUAGCUCAAAUCCCUCAAAAAUGAAAAAGAAACCAUGGGAGGAAGAGCUCAUCUUAUCUCCUCUGGUCUAGGGCUCAAAAGAGCAGCCAUGGGGGCUGGGGUGACCUAUAUAGGUGUUGUAACAAUUGCAGAAACACCCCUGCCCUAAAACUCCUCGCGCUGCACUGUGUACCGGUACACGGGCUCGCGUACCGGUACAACACCUGCGAAACAGCCAAACCCGAGCCUCGGGUUUGCACGAAAUCCGUCUGUGUACCGGUACACCAGCCCCGUACCGGUACAGCCAUCAGCGCGUACCGGUACAGCCAUCAACCCCGUACCGGUACGCAGCCCUGCUGAGGCUACCCGAGAGCUGACCAAAAUUCUGACUUUUCGGAUUUUGGUUCUAGGUUUUAAACCUCCAAUCUCGGGGUUCGAACCAUGGGUCGAAACACUGUCAACAACCUUCCACGAAGUGUGGAAAAGCUCAGAACACAAAACAAACACUCGAACCUUGCAAUUUGCAAAGGUCCAGUGCGUCAAAAUAACUUUCCGUGGAGUGUAGAAGGCACGCACUCGUUUGCGUGAAUCCUAUCGCGUCCGAGUAGUAGGUUAUAUUGACUAUCUGCAUCAACCACAAAGAAUGCAGUUCUUAAAGUUUUGGAACCUACCGUGAUAUCAGUCAUAAGCGCCCCUCGAGAUUGCUGACCGCUCCUAGUGAAGUCGGUCAUGAUCGUGUCAGUGGGCUUCAACUCAUCUUCAUCCUUGCCCAACUUCUUAAAGAAUGAAGUGGGCAUGACAUUGACCAUCGCUCCGCCGUCUACCAUAACUCGGCCUACUAGCCGACCUUCAAUUAAGGCCCGAAUGAAAAGAGGCCUUAUGAAUCUCAUUUGUAUGGCCGAUGGCUUCUCGAAAACCACCGUAUCGGCCGGUUUGGCAUCCUCUAACUGUAAUUGGGCCACAUUAAGCACAAAUUCUUCCUCUAUCUCCUCAUACUCAGUAUACUCUACUUUAAAAGACUGUGACAGAGUAUACACCAUAUUGACAUCGGCUGGUCGUUCAUCAGCCGAUUUUCCUUAAUCCUCUGUUUUUUUCUUCAGAUUCUUUAGCCGUUUCGGCAGAAGAAUCGCUCUCCAUUCGCACCUCCCUCUCCUUAGGAGGCCAUCUCUCUCUCUUGAUGAUUGUUUCGAGAGAAGCUAUUUUAUCUUCUAGCUCUCUCCUUGUCAUUUUCUCUUCUUGUUCGGCCGGUAUUGGCCGUUCAAUCUUUGAUUUUAGCCAAGGGAUAGGCGAUGAACUGCCUGCCUCAUGAUCAUUCCGCAUCGGGAGGACAAGGUGUGGAGGUUCAUCAGGUCGCCUCCAUACGUUCAAUUUUAUCCCCUUUGCUUCAUCGUAUUGUUGUCUGGCCUCGGCUUGCACCUUUUGCUGCCAACGCUUUUGUGUUUUCGUUAACAUCGGCCCUUGCCAUCUGGCCGAUGGUUUCACUUCUACCUCAUGCCAUUUGUCUACAGGCACGUUUGCCGGUACUUUCACGGUCCUCAAAUGAUUCUUCAAGAUUUCUCUCAUUUCCCAGGGUCUCGGCCAAGGUUGGAUGCCGAGCUCAUUGACUAACCUUCGACCGAGGAAUUCUAUGUCUCCCUCGGUUAUUCCCUCGAAUUCUGGUUUUGGUCUCAGCCUGGCUUGAUGCUGCCAGUAUGGCCGAUACCCAGGAAACCUUGGCCUCGAGUCGAAUGGUUUUUUUGGAUAACUCCAUCGGCUCGGUCGUUCUUCUCGUCGGUUGUGGUAGUAGUCAUGCAGAACUUUCUGCAUCAGCAAAUCCUUUUUAUGUUCAACCGAAUCGACUUCCGGUUCCGUUCCGUUGGAGGCUUCAUCUGAGCCUUCCUCUUCUGGAUCCUCACCAUCAGGAAUGUCAUCCCAUUCCUCGGGAAACGCCAUUAACUCAUUCCACUCAUUGCCUCUUUUCUUGGCAUUGAUGAUGACUUCCCAGUCCUUCUUCGUCAUUUCGACCUUGCACCUUAUGCAAAGCCGAAGGUUUCUUUUGGCAUAUGCCACGUUAUCUGCGGUUGCCUGGUCCGCAAUUUCUUUUUCUUUAACAUUCACCAUAUUGACCUGAAAAGGAAACGAACUUUCGUCAAUUACAUUAUUUUCAUUUUCUUGGUCGACUAAAAUGAGUCGACCCUCGUCUAUUUCUUCUUGGAUCUGCCUUUCUGCAGUCGCUUUUCCUUUUCCUUUCAUGUUCACCACGUUGACCUGUGAUGGAAAAGGACUCUUAUCAAUUUUCAUAUCUUUAUUUUCUUGGUCGGCAAAGAUGAGCCGACCUUCGUUUAUUUCUUUUUAAAUUUGCCUCUUGAAGGUAGUGCAUUCAUUUGUUUUAUGGCUCAAUGAGUGGUGCCAUUUGCAAUAUCUCCUACAUUUUAACUCAUCUACGGGAGGUAUCGUUUGACCCUCCUGUAGUUGAAUCCUUCUAUCUUUAAACAACCGAUCAAAGAUAAGAUCGGUCUUUGACACAUCAAACGAGUAAGUAUAUGCCGAAACCUACGCUUUUGCUUUGCGCGAUUUAGCGGGUUUUAACAAAGCGCACUUAUAUGGUUGACGGUUUUUCACCAUCUCUGCAGCACAUACUUCGGCUUCAUCAGUCAAAUCCUCAUUCUCUUCAGACGAAUUCGGCUCCUCAUGAGCCGAAGGCUCCUCAAGGAAAGAGAUAUUUUUCUCCUUUCCCUUGUUCCAUUCUCUCUUUCGGCUCCAUCUGGGCCGAUCUUCAUUGUUACCCUUUCGAAAUUGCUCAUAUUGAGCAACUCGAAUUCCCAAAUCGAAGAGGUUUGAAAAAAACUUGUCUUCGAAAUGAUCUUUAAUCUUAAAAUGAAAGCCGUUAAAUGCCAUUUUGGCAAAUUCCGACUCUGGCAUUCUCACAAAACAACGGCUCCGAGCUGUCUUAAAUUGGUUCAGAUACUCAUCAACCGAUUCGCCUGUCCUUUGUUUGAAUUGGGCUAAAUCGGCAACCGAAAUCCCAGCUCAGUUCUAUAGAAUUGUUCAUGAAAUUUACCUUCUAAUUCGUCCCAAUCUUGGACAGAAUUAACCGGCAAACUUGUAUACCAAGUGAAAGCCGUCUUUGUUAAUGACGUAUUGAACAAUCUUAACUUCAAAAAUGGGUCAGCUGCGGCUUCUCGGCAUUGUGCCGUGAACCGUGGAACAUGUUCGACCGUGUUCUCAGUCUCAUCUCCAGAAAACUUAUCAAACUUCGGUAUUUUUCAAUUUGCCAGGUAUGGGUGCUGUGCGUCUAUAUUCGCAGCGUAAGGUGAUCUAAAUACAGGCCGUAUUGCCGGCCUUGCGCCUACUCCGAACGUAUUUCGGUUGGCCUCCUCUAUUUGCACGUAAAUUUCAUUAUUAAUCCCCUGUAAAGGGAUUUGCGCUAGUGCUGGUUUCGGUCCUUGUGCUAGACCGGGAUUUUGUACUCCGGGGUUAUUAACUCCUUGUGCAUUUGGAACCUGCCCCCUAGCCCCUACAUUUUGAGGCUGGUAUGCUGCAACUGGUGGAGGUGGAGGUAAUCCCCACGCUAUCUCCGGUUGUUGACCGGCAUUAACGACAGCCGGUCUAUAAGCCACUUGAUAUGGUGCCCCCUAAUAUUGGGGCUCACCAUUUACCGGUGUUACAGGAUUUUGUAACACCGAUGCCAUCAUAGGCGUUUGUAAGCCUAAUGUUGGCUGAUCAUUCCGAGUCAACAAUUGCCCUAUUCGGGCUAUGUUCUCGUUAGAGGCCGUGAAUGCGGCCAAUACGGCAUCCAGCCGUGCAGUACUCGCAUGACUAUUUUAGUCCAAAACUUGCAGGACCCAAGUCAUUUGUCCAAGCGCCUGAGCCAGACUAGGCUCCUGUUGGCCAGAUUGACCACUGGUUUCACCCUCGGCAGGUAAGACUACUUGGCGCUCUACGGCAUUCUCCGAAUUACUGGGCUGUUCGCUCCCAGAAUUUCUAGGAAUAGCCCUAUUACGGAGAUUCAUGGCAUUAUCAUCAGACAUAAUUUGUAUAAAAUGUAAAUUUACCUAAAAAUUAAGUCCCACUGGGCGUGCCAAAAAUUGUUGGUAGCCGAAUUUCCCGACCCUUGACCCAGUCAAAGAUCCUCCUCAGGGAGCGCGUCGGGGUGAGGAACGGCUACGGAUAAUGACCCUCGAAGUUUGCGCCUUUCGACAGAUCAAGCGAUUCGGCUGACGAGGGAUCGGAUCAGCCGGGUUCGAAGACCUCUACAGUAAAUUCGGUUCGGCUGGGAUUAGCCGAAUACUCAAAACAGACAGGAAACUAAGCCGGGAGAAGAGCCGAAUGGCCAAAACAACACGAGAUCUGGUCGGCCUGAAGAGCCGAAAUGAGAUUCUAUUGAUUGAUGGGAAGUACAACGAUGGAUAUGUAGUUUAUAGCGGAGUGAUGCCCGUGGGGCAGACAGACUCCAGAGAUCUACUCUAGCAGACUACUCCUAGAGAAAAGCAGUAAAAUUACAAGUAGACUACUCCUAAAAAAUGCAGAAAAUUGCAAGGAAAAUAAGGGUGGUCUUUCGUUCACAGGGGAAAAGACCUCUUUUUAGGGCGUUAUUACCCUAUUUAUAGAUCGCCCCCUUGAUCAGUUAUUGCUCUUACACGAUCGGCAAUUAUCUUCUCAUAUUCCGGACCACCUCCAGCCGAUCGGAACCGCAUGUAACUGCUUGCGGUUACUGUAACUUCCUUCAAUUGGCGCGAUUUGGUUUCCUUUAAACUUUUCCGGUGCUCCUGGUGCACGACUGAAUAAAUUCUUUUGAAGGAAAUACUAGCAUGCCACCUGUCCAAGCCUAAUUGGCUUAACAAAAACUAACCAAAAUUCACCAAAAAUGAAGAAGAAAUCAAAGGGGAAGAGUCUCACCUUGCUUCUCCACAGGUUAGGGCUCAAAAGAGCUUCUAAGGGGGUUGGGGUGAUAUUUAUAGGGUUUGCAAUAAUUGCAAAUACACCCCCCACAACAUCAGCCCGCAGAGCAAAGUGUACCGGUACACGGGAAAGUGUACCGGUACAGGUCCUGUGCGACAGCAAACCCGAGCCUCAGGUACGCAAAAAAUCCCCAUGUGUACCGGUACACUUCUGAUGCUGUACCGGUACACCAUCUAUUCCGGUACAACAUCAAUGUUGUAUCGGUACACAGCCCUGCAAUCAGCAACCCGAGAGCAGCCUAAAUCCAUCAUUUUGGUGACCUUAGCGCUACUAUAAAUACUACAAUUCUCAGGAUACGAGCCAUAGGUCGGAACACUGUCUACGACCCUCCAGAAUAUCUGGAAAAACUCGGAAUACACUCGAACCUUGCUAUUUGCGAAAGCCUAGUGUGUUACAUUCUCCCCUCCUAAAAAGGAGUUUCGUCCGCCAAUCUGCGGGUCAACAACGCAACAGACCCAUCCUAAGGGGAUGGAGGAAGCGCUCCAACAGCGCGCCAAACAGACCAUAAGGGUCUUAAGCAUGCCGUAAUGCUCCACGGCAAAACACACAAGAGCCCGCGACUCCAAACUUCCACAAGCUCCUUGAACUUAAGUCUUCCCCGGGAAGUUCCAUCUCAAAUUCGCGCUUGAUCGACAAGCCCAUCAGUUGGUCCUCACAAAACCAAGUGCCUCCAAAGGCUAAAUUCCUGCUCUCACUUUCCUUAUCCUAGUUCACUUAUUCUUAUUCAUAGAAUUCCAUCAUAUAACCUUCUAAGGCGGACUCAACGACGCCGUCCAUAGCAAGAAUUUGGGGGUUACACCCGCUACCCAAUCCAUCAAGACUACACCUGAGUGCUCAAAUACUUAUCACUCACCAAAGAGAGGUGAUAUAAUCCUCCCAACGUCAACUCAAAUCCCAACGAUGAUCUUUCAGAUCCAUGAUCAAAUCUUGUCACGGGAAUGCACAUCCGGUUGCAAUUCUAUUCCAAUGCUAGGCAUGGUGUAAAUUUUCCACAUGAUUACCAUUCCAAACUGCUUGGCACGAACGGGUCCACAGUCAACAUCUACGGCAAAAACCCUUCCGAUAGCAACGGAAACCGACGAAUCAUCCAAGUUUGCUCACCAAAGGUGAUUAAUUGAUUCCUCAAUCGGCAUUGCACCACAAUGCCUCCACAUCAACCUCACUUUCCCCUCUAGGGUAAUACUCUCAAGUUCUCUACAAUAAAUAUGGUCUUAGACCAAAGCUCAGUAACAUCUUCAAUCCACUAAAGUUAUUCCCUUAGUCUCAACUCAAUGCCUCAACUAAAAUCUUUGUAUGUCUCAACUCAAUGCCCAACUAAAAUAUUUGUAAGCCUAAGCCAAGAGGUUAUUUUCGAUAGAAUGUCUCAUACAUUAACCAUUCAGCUGGUCAAGAAGUAUCACUCAACAUUCUCAUCCUCAAUGCCUUCCUUAGCAUCGGAUGCUCCAGGUGUCCAUAGUCACCGAGCCCAACUCAAAUGAUAGGGAGAGUUCCAUCCACAAUUCAAUAAUAGCUCUCUAUCAAUGUCACCAUAAUGUGACCAACAGCCCAAAACGUCAAUCGAAACAAUUCUUUCAAGCAGUUUCCAUUCCCAAGAUCUUGAUCUUGGUGCAUAAACCAGACAAGGGAAGAUAAUAACUUGGUAUCUUUUCCCCUCGAGUUUCCCAACUACUCGAUCCCACAGUGAGAGUUUCACACCUCGAUCACGUCAAUCCGCCUCUGCAGUCGAUCCCCGCAAAUCUUCAUAAGAAUACUCAUGGCCAUCCGCUACCGGUUCCACAAAUCCAUCGAGAGGGCUUGGAAUUAUCAUUCCACAAGUCCCUAACAUUGGUGGAGCACCACAGGCCUAGGGAACAUCACGAUAAUUCUCGUGAUGUUCCAAUCCAGCAUCAACAUUUGUUUGAGGUACAACCUCAAACUCCAACACAAACAGUGGUACUCAGAUUGCAUCACAAUCUUAUCGAGUACGCUUACCACCCAAGGCUAUUUGAAUAGAUCAAUGAGCCUCUACAACGGUCCAAAUGCUAAUCGUGGUUCGAUUUAGAUCACGACAGCCGACAUAUAGUCGAAAUGAUCCAUCCAGUCCCACAACAGGUGGGGGUGCUUCUCCACGAAGCAAAACACUAGGUACAAGAACCUCUCCGCCAAUCGAGUUCACAGUUUGUGACUCAGACGGGAAAACAGCGACAACUCGGAAGAUAUCCUCCACUACGAGGAUUCUCGAUCAACCGAUGCUAACGGCCAAUUAGGCCCUAAACCAUCCCAAAUUACCUGAUUUUAGGAAAGGAGACAGUCGUCGCAACCAGCGAAAAUAAAUCCUCAAAUCGUACUAUUUCGUGCACAAAAUCCUCAAGGCGAGUCAAGUCAGCUCGCAUUCCAAGGGUACCAGGUACCCACAACAACUCCACACUAAGUAAGGCUAAUCCAUUCGUUGGCGCACAAACCCUCUCACAAGGUAGGGUGUUCAAAACGACACAUCUGAUCAACCGAUCGUCCUACAUGCGUCGAAAAUGAUCAACGCUAACAAUCCUCGGGUUUGGUCACUACACACUCGGUGUAUCCUCGAUUUCAAGAUCCAACACAUGGCAUUCCACACUCCAAGGUCAAAGCUCGGACUACCGUCCUGACCAAAACUCUGCCCUACCCGUAGGUACCGAGCCGCUAUUACACACAGCUGAACGCGCCUGCCUAAAGGGCCCAGGCUCCACAGUCCACAAAUGGUCCAGGCACGGCCGUCUCCAAGCACCAUCCGGCGAGCAGCCAAUCAAGGGAUGCAAACAAUGCAAUCAUCGUGAGAUCUACAAGCAUAGCAAAAUAUGCUACCCGCAACCUGCAAAUUAACUGCCUAGCUCGAGAGGAGCCACUAAACAUGCAAAGAGUGAACUAAUGGAAUGCCAUGCAACUCGGCAAAUAGCCGAUCAAAGUAUGGAUGCAAUGCACUGGCAACAAACAAUGCACAACUCGAAUGCCACAAAACAAACUAAUACCUGAAGCCACAAUCCCGGCAGCUGCCGCCUCCUCAGUCUAGGCUGUAUACAUGCGCCCGCUCGGGGCCUGUCGUGACCCCUCCAACUGUCUCUGGACAAGUGGCCUCCCGGCCUGAUAGUGAGCAGAAAGCGUCCCCUGGCUGGGACCCGGUAAAGCUGGUGCCGAUGCUCAAGAUGACGCUGGUACUGAGCCCCUCGAGCAGUCCGACUGGAAGUGACCCUCCUGGCCACACGAGUAGCACCUGCCCUGACCCUGCGAGCACUACCGUGGGUAAUGACAACCACCGCAGAUCACGCAGCUCAGAGUCUGGCGACGCUCAGAUCCUCCCUGCUAUGCAGAUGUGCCCCGUCCUCGCGUCUAGCUCCUAUACCUAGGAUGUCUCGGCGGCCUCCCAGAGUGCGUCUGACUCGUACCCUCAGCCGCGGGCCGCUUGCCCUUUCCUUUGUCCGAGCCUUCUCGACGCUCCUGUAAGUCCGCCGCGCCGCUCUCCACGAUGAGCGCGCGGUUUACCACAUCUCGGUAAAUCUGAAGGUUGGAGGAUUGCACGAACCGAAAGAUCGACGGCCGAAGUCCUCGCUAAAAAAUGCGAGUCUUGUCCUCGUCGUCCCGCACAACGAAGGGCACACAGUGUAGAAGCCGAGAAAACUCCCUCUCGUACUCAGCCACGGUCCGAUCCCCCUGGCGCAUCUCGCGCAGAUCCUGCUCCAUCUUUCUCUUAACACUAACGGGGAAGUAGUUCUCCAAUAAGAGUUCCUUGAACCUCUUCUAAGAAAUUGCUGCUAGGUCAGUGUUGGGAUUGUCCUGUAUACCCAACCACCAGCUGUAGACCUCGCUGUCCAAAUGGUGAGUGGAGAGCCAAACUCUGUCUCUCUCCUCCACGAAGGUAUCGCGAAACAACUUCUCCAUGGGCAUCAACCACUUCUCAACGAUCUAGUGGUCGGUUUUUUCUCUGUCAAAGAUCCUGAGAUUGCACCUCCUGAACUCGUUGAGGCGGUCCAUGAGCCACAGGCACUUGAGCUCGUGGUGCCGCAAAUAGCUCCUCCCGAGGUGCUACCGCAGGUGCCGUCCGCGACAUGUCGAGUGCAGGGGACGACCCCCUUGGUGCAACCACCUCUACCGGCGUGGAUCGUACAGGGACCUGAGCCUCCCUGGCAGCCGCCUACUGCAGUAGAAGGUCCUCUAGGCGCUGCAUCCGUGCCUCCUGCCGGCGCGCCGCAUCUGCCUGUUGGCGAGCCGCUGCCGCCUGCUACGUCACGAAGUCAGUGAAGGCCGCAAGCUGGCUCCUCAACUCACGAACCUCACUGGAUCCGGAGGUAGCGGAUGUCUCCACUUCCUCAAAAGUUGCUGCAUCGUCCGCUCCAAUAGACUUAGAGCGUGUAGUCGGCAUCGACAUUACAAUAUCAUAAAAGUGCAAGUUAAUAAAACCCACGCUAUCGCAACCCCGCUCAAAUACCAAUACCCAAAUCAUGCGAAAGUAAGGAAGUGUCUUAUACUACUAACUCCCGAUGUUACAUUGUCGGCCGCAAAUGUAACCCUCCGUGAAGUUAGAAGCCAUACACUACGAUUCAACUCCAACAUUUUAGAGUUAUCAAGUAAACCCAAUCAUGAUACUUUCGCUUACAAAUCAAAUAGACCUCGUCUCUCACGGGUCUAAUUCCUAUAGUCCAACUGGCCUAAGGUUUACUAGGUCUACUAAGACUCAACCCUAGGCUCUGAUACCAAAUAAAUUUAUCACGCCCCGGGACCCGGCAUAAGCUCGCCCGGUGCGUGCCCAGACCCGCCAUAUGCCUGCACAUAUAAGGCGUCUACAACAAUAGCGAAUAAAUAAACAAGAAACCGAGAGUAUCUAGAGAUAACAGAGCAGUAUACAGCUAGGUUCUACCAACAAAUAGAGUCAAAAGAAACUAAACCACUACAGUAAGAAGUAAACUUAAUACAACAUAAAUCUCAAAAUACAAGUAUGGGGUGGUCUCUUGUAACGCACUGGACCUUUGCAAAUUGCGAGAUUCGAGUGUUUGAUCUGUGUUCUGAGCUUUUUCAGAUAUUCUGGAGGGUCGUAGAUAGUGUUCCGACCUAUGGCUCGCAUCCCGAGAAUUGUGGGUUUAAGCUUGUAUCAAAAUCCCAAAAUGUAGGAUUGUUGGUGUGCUCUCGAGUUGCCUCUGCAGGAUUGUGUACCGGUACAACCUUGAUGGUUGUACCGGAACGCAAUGUGUACCGGUACAGCCUCGAUGUCGUACCGGUACAUUUCGGAUUUUCUGCCAACCCGAGGCUCGGGUUGGGCAGUUUCGUAGGUAGUGUACCGAUACACUUUCCCGUGUACCGGUACACAAUGCAGUCUGGGCUGAGUUCGGGGAGGGGUGUAUUUGCAAUUAUUGCAACCUCUUUAAAUACCCCCCCAGCCUCCCUUAGCUGCUCUUUUGAGCCCUAGACCUGAGGAGAACAAGGUGAGAUUCUUUCCCUUUGAUUUCUUCUUCAUUUUUGAUGAUUUUUGUUGGUUUUGAUCUCUUCUCUCUUCUCCUCUUUGCUAUUUGUUGGAUUUUCUCCAUGGUUGAAGACUUGGAGCUUGGAGAGGAGCUUGUUUGAGAGGAGAUCUUCAACCCUUCUUGGUUUGGAGCCUAGUUUGGAGCAUUUGAGAGGUGAGUAGCACUUUUCUACUCCUUGAUCUUUAUUUUGAGAGGUUUUAUGAGAUGAAACCCUAGAAUAAGACAGGAUUUAUAUUUUGGGGCUUUUUGAUUAGAAACUUUUAGAGCUCUAUUGAUGGGUUUAGAACCUUGGAUUAGGUUGCUUUGGAAGGAAUUUUGCUUCCAUUUGAGCUUUAUUUGAGGAUUUCUCCAUCUAGGUGAGCUUUUCUCCACCUUAGCUUGAGAUGGUUAAUGAUUAACCUUAUGGUUGUUCGUAAGGUCCGUUUAACUCUUGUUUCUACACCUCUAGGGUGCUAGAAGACUAGUGGACACCUUCGUCGGAGCAAACGAAGGAGUUGUGAGAGUUGUGGUGGGUUUGGCUUCAUUGAAAUGGAAGGAAAUGCUUCCUUUGUGGUUAAAUAUUUUCGUAUACUAUAAAUACAUGCAUAUUCAUGUUAAAUGAAAUUUAUGUGAAUUUUAGAGUGCUUAAAACCCCUAUGUUAUGCAUCAUGAAAGAUUGACUCUAUGUUGUAGAGAGAAGCAUAUGCAUUGUUAGUAUGAAUGAGUUUAAUAUCCUAUUGACUGAUGUAAGAUCAUGCUUCACGUGCGGAAAAUGAUUAGAACAACAAGCUUUUAGACUUAUUAUUCAUAUUGGAACAUAGUGUCACGCCCCGGGACCGGCGGAGGCCCUCCCGGUAGCGUGCCCAGACCCGCCAUAUGUCUACACAUAUAAGGCGUCUACAAUAAAAGCGGAAGUAAAAGCAAGAAUAGAACAAACAACGAGGUGAAAUAACUAGCAACUAAUGAUAUCAGAGCGAGUAUAGUUCUAACGUCUACACCAAUAGUGAAAGAACAAAACAGAAACGUAAAGGUAACAUAAGUGAUGCAGUAUCAGCCUCUAAUACAAAAAUGGUGGUCACUAGUACACUGGUAAAACUCUCAACCUCUCCAAAAUAAAACACAACGAGAGGUAGACCACCUAGCGAAUCGUCCUCGAGGGAAGCUAACUCGAAGCAACCCCCUUCCCGCGGUCCCUGGCCUCGCCCUGAGUGGAAGGCUCUGAAAAACAUCGAGAAAAAGAGGGCGUGAGAACUAUAAUUUAUAGUUCCCAGUGGGCAAUUACUGACCUCAGCUCGAUGCACCACUAGGCCCCAAAAGAAACGGGUAAGUCAACAAUAAUAGUAACAAGUAAAUUGCAUAAUAGAAAGCAUAAUAAUUAAGAUGCUAAGCUACGACUGGCAGUUAAACAUGGCAUUCCUAAUGCAACUUUAUCUUGUCAUAGAUAUAUAUGCUCACAAGUAAUAUCAUGCUUUACUUUGUACAGAUAUGAAAGUGAUAUUUGGUCAUGACUACAAUGCAUAUCGGAUGCAAUAAACCACCUCUCCUAGCAUACUACAUGUAUGUAUGAAUACCCGAAUGUCCACAACUAUGCUAGAAGUAGUUCCAAGUACUCCUACUACUACUCUCUGACUAGUAGUGAUCGUAAUAAACUCAACACCGUGUCGAUUUCCAUUUCCAAAUAAGGACCUACCAAAGGUAGUCCAGCUUGUACCGCCUAAGUGCCUGUGGUAGCCCAACAUUCCUACUCUUGGAAUGUGUCUGUCCCACUCGACCCCGUAGGCUUCUCAAUACCGCACGAGCGAACAAUAGUCGCAUAGGCCAACUCCGGAGUGCCGGCUUGUAGGGAGCGACCCUCACAAGCAUGUGCGAAUGAGCACAAAUGGCAAACAAGCAAGGUCCAAGUCUCAAAUGUCCAAUCCUCAUGUCUCUAACAUGGCAUCAUAACUAGCAUCCCGAAGAUCUAGUCUAAGUCAUAAUAUGAAGUUCUAAUAUACUAAGUCUUGUGCCCCUUUAUGACACUUAGACAUUUUAAUGAACAAGUAUAUCCAACUCUUUCAAUGGCACUAUCCACUAGGUUUACACAUGACCCGAGCUCAAUGCCCCUUCAUGACAUUAGCCCAACUAUUCACAAUAACACAAGUCCCCGAGCCUCUUUAUGGCCUACCAAGAACCUUCAAGUUCAAUAUAGGAAUAGUCCCUAAAUGCAUGCAAGAGGUGCUCAUUUUCACAAUAGGAGUCAUGAUUCCAAGUCUAAAAAGGACGCCAAAUAUAUGCAAGUACCACAUGCUAGUUCUCUACUAUAUAGAGGUCCGAAAUUUUCUUACACAUAACAUAGGCAUAUGAAGCAUCCUAAAAUUCACAAUGAAUAUAUCUAACAUGAUUAUGCAUGCUUUUUCAAUUUACGAAACAUAUUUCACCAUAUAUGAGUAUUUCUCAUAUAAAGGCUAGGUCAAACCCACCGAACCGUCGCGUGCUCCUUCGAAUCACCGAACGGAGUUGUCCACGAGUCUCACAAUACCCUAAAAGUAAUCAGCGAAGAGGAAAUGAGGGCAUUACGACCAUCCCGAGAGAUCAAACAUUACCUAGGAACAAAAAGGGCAAAAUUUACCUCAGAGUAGAAAUCUCUCCAAAGCCUCAAAAGAGACUAGACCCUUCCAUCAAGCCUAGGAAGUUCUAAGCCAAUCGAUUUGUCCAAAAGAGAGAUCAAGAAAUGCCCAAAAUAAGCCCUAAAUCUCAUUUCUAGGUUUCAUCUCCAAAAAUCACAAAACCAAGAAUCUAGAGGGAAAUGUGAUACUAACCCUUUGGAAGCUUCAAUCCAAGCCCAAAAUGCCCUAGGGUUGAAGUGUGUCCACCACUAAGCCUAACAAGCAAGCCCAAGCCUUGCACAAGGUGGAAAAGAGGAAAGGGGUUGAGCUCCAAGCUCCCUCAAACAAACUCUCUCUUCUUCUCUCCUCUCUUCCUUCUUCUUCUUCUUCUCCCUCUUCUUCUCUCUCUAGAAUGCAAAGGGUUGAGAGAAAAUGAGAGUGAGAGGGGAGGAGAGGCUGCCUAUAGCCUCUAAGGUAACAAAAUCCAGUUAGGCCCCUCAAAAACCCAAAAUUACAUCAGCCCGGACUGGGCAGUUUUCGCCCAGAGGGACCGGUCUCUCCCCAACAGGGACCGGUCUCUCGCUGCGAACCCGAAAAACCUGCGUUCGGGAACCGGUCUCUCCCUGCGCGGGACCGGUCUCUCACUGCGAAGACGCGUUCGGGAACCGGUCUCGCCUGCCAGGGACCGGUUGCCUCAGGCUGCCUCAACACUGCUCACUGGGGGAACCGGUCUCUCCUUCCAGGGACCGGUCCCCGAGAGUAAAAACUCCCAGGACUUGUCCAAAGUUCCAGAUUUUGAACUUUUCGGGUCGGAAAAUAUUUUGCAACCCUCAACCAAGUGUGGAAAAGCUCGAAAUACAUCCAAACACUCGAACCUCGCAAUUUGCAAAGGUCCAGUGUGUUACACAUAGUGAGCAAAAGUGUCAUAAAGGGACACUUGAACUAGAAAAUUGUUGAACUGCAACUUAGAGACAUGACGAUAAGCCAUUGAAAAUCUACUAUAUUCCGUAUUUUAGACACGAUGAUAUAGAGAUAGGCCAUUGAGGCAGUUACUAUAUUCCAUGUGUUAGACACGAUGAUAUAGAGGCAGGCCUUUGGGACAUGUGCUGUAUUCCGGGUUUUAGAUCCAAUAAAACAGUGAUGAACCACUGGGACCUGAGACGGACUUAUUCGCUUGCAUGCCAUUGUGCUCAUUCGCACAUACUUGUGAGGGUCGCUCCCUAUAAGUCGGCACUCCGGAGAUAGCCAUCGCGACACAUGCUCACCCGUGCGGGAUUGGACGCCAAAAUGGGAUGCCGUGGGGAGGCUCAUUCCUAGAGUGGGGAUGUUGGCUACCACAGGGCCAUUGUUGGCACGGCACAGGCAGGACUCCUACGGGUAGCUUCCACAGGAUUGGGUUACUAGUGACAUACUAUGCCUUUUGGACAUUGACUAGAAUAGUAAAUAUUGACACAUUACCAUUCUAGCUUGUGGUUAUUAUGUCCGGCUUAUACUUGUGCAAUUAUGCCAUGGUAGUUUAUUACUUAUGCAAAUCCAUACUAAGUAGAGAUCAUGUGGUAGAUUAUUACUGAUGAAAAUAGUGACAUCAUGCUAUAGUGAGCUUCCAUUUCAGUGAUUUAAUUGUUCAUAUUAUUCUUGUCUGCCUCGCUUACCUUACUUGCUUAGUUUUGGGCCUAGUGGUGCAUUUCACUGAAGUCAGUAAUUGCCCACUGGGAACUAUUAUUUAAUAGUUCUCACGCCCUCUAUUUGAUACCUUUUUCAGAGCCUUCAGCACCGGCGGAGGCACGGGAUCGCGGCGAGGGAGUCGCGUAGCUAGUUAGUACGGAGCCUCCCUUUGCUCCUAGGUGGUCUACUCUCUUUUUGUGUUUUUGGUGAGAGAGAGAGAGUUUUGUUACCAUGUAUAGAGACCGCCAUUGUACCACUUAUAGCAUUUGUACUUGAAAUUCUGUCGUUCUGCUUCAUGAUUUAUUUUAGUGGAUUUUAGCUCUUGUUGUACUCUCCUGUUGUAGAUUCUUGUAGUACUUUGCUCUGAUUUCGCUAGAUCUCUUUGUAUUAUUAUUUUAUUUAUUGCUGUAUCAUAGACGCCUUAUAUGUUUUAAACAUAUGGCGGGUCUAGACACGUGCCGGAUGGGCUUCCGCUGGGCCCCGGGGCGUGACAGAUUAUUUUGGUAUCAGAGCCUAGGGUUGAGUCUUAGUGGACCUAGCAAAUCUUAGGCCGGUUGGACUAUAGGAAAUAGGCUCGUGAGAGACUAGGUCUAAUUAACUUGUAAGCGAAAGUAUCUUGAUUGGGUAUCUUUGAUAACUCUAGAAAGUGGAGUUAAAUCGAAGUGUAUAGCUUCUAACUUCACGGAGGGUUACAUUGGCGGCCGACAACGUAACAUCGGGAGUUAGUAGUGAAGAACACUUCCUUACUUUCGCACGAUUUGGGUAUUAUCUUCUUGAGUGGGGCUGCGUUAGCAUGAGUUGUCUUAACCCGUGCUUGUUAUGUUUGCUACUGCUUGUGAUGUCGGCGAUGCCCACGAUGGCAGCCGAGGCGACCGAGCCGGGAAAGCCUGCAUCCCCCCGAUCCGACGAGAUUCGGGAGUUGAGGGAACAAAUGGCCACUCUAUUUGGCGUGGUGGAGCGACAGAUGAGUGUAGUGCUACUUCAGGCCGAAACCUUGCGCCGACAGGACGAGGGAAUUAGGCGGUUGGAGGGCCUAUUGGUCCAGCGGACGGCUGACUUUAGAAGGCCCAAGGAGGGAUUGGAUCUAGCCUUGUAAUAGGCUGAAACUUGAUUAGAAGCUAAUUGUGAUCAAAGUGGGCACAAUAAUGCUAAAAUGGAAAUUAAAGACUUCUAAACUGAAUUAGAAGCUUGAGAUCAGUCAUUGGCACACUUUGGAAGUGUGGGAAUAGAUACAAGUGGAAAUGAAGUGACAAAAGAAUUCCAAUUGCCAUGGUAACUCGAAUGCUGAAUUUUGUAGUCGAUUUGGUCGAAAUGAACCAUAUGAUGUCAAAAUGAAAAGGAAUUGCUUCCAAAUUAAACUGGUAGCUUUUGAAAGUCCCUUGGCAUGUUUUGGAAGUGUUCGUGUUGAAAUCGGAGCAAAAACAGAAGAUUUGAAAUUUUCUGUAAAGAAUGGGACUGAGAAAUUAGCAGAAAAUGCACAGUGUCAGAAAAUUAUGAAAAUUGGCGGAGAUGUCAGGAAUAUUUGUAUGAGGCUAGAUUUAAAGUUUCAGAUUAUUCUGACACCCGUAGAGAGAGAAAUUUGAUCCGAAAGCUAUCGGAUAAAGAUUGCAGUUCGGUACAGUUCGCAGUGACCAAACGGGGUCGAAACUGAAAUGUUAAAAUUUCUUUGGACUUGUUAAGUAAAACCGAACAUGCCUGUCAAAUUUGAGCUCAAAUGGACUUUUAGAAGAGCCUGCGAAAGGUAUCUAAUCCGUGCGACUAAACGGAAUUAAGUCGAGGGGCAAUUUGGUAAUUACACAUGGCUUAGUGGAUUUCCACUAAACCUGCCAGAAGGGGAGCCCUCAGCCAUCCUUAUCUCCCUCUGGUUCCAUACGUAGAGAGAGAGAAAGAGAAAAGAGAGAGGGAAGGAGAAGAGAAGAAGAAGAAGAAGAAGAAGAAGAAGAAGUAGAAAAAAAAAGAAAGGUAGAGUUUUUAUUUCUCUCCCUCUCUACCCUCUCCCUGCUGCUACUGAUUGUAGCAGCAGCAGCAACAAUAGCUCAGCAGCAGCAGCAAGCUCCUGCUGGUGCAGCUGUAGCACCAGCAGCAGCUGCUGGAGUAGCAGCAGCAGCUGCUGGAGUAGCAGCAGCAGCAGCAUGCGCCAGCAGUAGCAGCUGCAAGCAGUAGCAGCUGCAAGCAGCAGCAGCAGUGCAACAGCAGCAGCUGCAGCAAUCAGCAGCAGCAGCUGCAGCUAGCAGCAGUAGUAGUGGCACCAGCAUGAGCUGCUGUCAGCAGCAGCAGCAGCAGCAGUGGCAACUGCUGUCAGCAGCAGCUGUCAGCAGCAGCAGCAGCAGUGCUGCUGACAGCAGCAGCAGUGGCAACAGUGGCAGCAGCAGCAACUGCCCUACAAGGGCAGCAAGAAAAGAAAGAAAAGAAAGAAAGAAAGGAAAGAAAGAAAGAAAGAAAGAAAAUAGGAAAGAAAAGAAAGAGAAGAAAGAAAAGAAAGAAAAGAAAGAGAGAUGGAAUGAAAUAAAAGUUAAAUUGCUCGAUAGUUUGAUUUUGACCCCGACAAUGCACUUUUGCAGGAUAAAGGUCCUACCGUGAAAUUGACCGUGUACAAACCUAAUUGAGGGUAAAAGAAACUCGUUGGCGAAGUCGAUUCGGCAAUCCGUCGAGCCUACGCAAAGAUAGCGCCAAAAGGACAAUUUCGGCUACGAUUAUCGCGAGCGCGGAUCGCGGUUCUCGGGGAAGUGGGGGAAGUGGAUUUCUCGUGUUCAGGUAUCAGAUAAAGGUAAACUGGUUCUAAUAUCUAAUUGUAGACAAGUUAGUUGCAUUAAAGAUGAUAAGAGUAAUUGCUGCCAGGAUCUGAUAUUGGACUAUUUGAAGUAGUAAGUUGAAAUUCAGUAUGAGAAAAAUAUAAUUGGAUAGCAGAUUGAGCUACCUUCAAUUAUGUUAUGACUAGUAGUUAGACUAGUUACUCUGAUAAAUUUCUAAGCAUAGAACUAAUUGUUCUAUACUUAUAAUGGCUGCACUAAAAGGAAACAAAAUGCUGAAAUUUCAGCCUAAGUAGAAUUUCAGCAUUGGGACUUUGGAGUGAAAUGCUAACUUGGAAAAUAUAAGAAUAUGACACCAAUGUAAUCUCUUUUAUUCUUGUGUAAAUGAAAGUUAUACAUGCUCGAAAGUCUAAAUUGACUUUCCGACAGGUCGGCGACGCACUAAUUACGGUAGAGACCGUUCUAGUUCUAUUUGCACUGAGUCGCGAGAGCUAGUUGUCGACGCAUUCCGAGACGUGAGAUCCUAGUUGUGGACACCACUACAGGUGGGUGGUGCUAUCCGAAGUCUUUGAAUCACCUUUUAUGUCUAUGCUAUUCAUUGAGCAUAUUUACUUCUGUAUUCAUGCAUUAUAGGGUAUGGGCAUUGGCAUUAUGCAAGUGAUAUUGAACGUGUGAAUUCUUAUUGAUAGUAAGAACAUAUGAACAUAGAAUGUGGACAUAGAACCCUAUGAAUGCAUGGACUAUAACAAUAGUGAACUUGGUGACAUAUGACUAGAGAUUUGGUUAGCAUCGACAUUGGAAUUAUAAAACUAGCAUAAAGAGCUAGUUAGAGUAAAGUGUGACAGUGUUUGUCAGUUGAAUCCUCUAAAGGGGGAUCAGAUCAUACUCACAUUUGUUUGGUUCAAGUGAGGUCGCUCCUCCUUGAACGAUGAGCUCCGGAGUAGUCAUCUUUACUGGACCAGGAGGUGCGUCUCCCCCAGUUGACGGUCCCGUCGGGUGCAGGUUGCGUCUCCCCGAUAUUUGGGAUAGCGUCAGUGAGUUAUUGUUAACCAGAGGGUUAACCAAAAGAUUGGGUAAAGUUAAUGAAAAGCAUGCAUGCAUAUUUACAGUUUUCAUAUACUACUUCCUUCAGCUUUGUACAGGCAUUGUAGUAGUUACAUAUUAUAGUUGGUUACUAUCUGCUUUACUUUUCUUGCCUACAUAUGCCUGAGUAGACCUAGUGGGUGAGUCGGCGAGGUCGGCAGCCGAACCCACUGGGAACUUUCUUGUAGUUCUCACACCACUAACCAUACAGGUUCCAGUGCGAGCGUUGUGGCCGAGGAUCGAGGCAAGAGCCCAGCAUCCUAGCUAGCUGACACCAGAGUUAUAGUUGUUUAACAUUUUGAGUUCAUGUAUCAUCUAUUUUGAUGUACUGAGACAUGUAAAUGAAUGUAUAUAAAGCAUGUAAUAACUAAAUGUUUUAGUUAAGUAAAGUUUUAAAUUACAGUGGAUUUCAUGUUUAGUUAGACUUACUAUCACUUGUGUUGUUGCUUGUCUUCGUGCAAGCCAUGUAUAUUGAAAUGUAUCCUGGGAAUUGUUUAUUUCUUUAUACAUGUAUUCGUUGUUGUUGAGCCUUGGGCGAACAGAGGAGGUGCUGUUUGUUCGGCGUCUGUGUACGGGCCCGGAUUGAGCAAAUUGGCGAUAGCGGGACGUGACAACCCUCACCCGUAGGGAGAGGCAUGAAGGUUACCGGAGUGGCAAAGGAAAUGUCCAAGAGCGAUACGUUGCAUGUCGGCGAAUCGUCGAGGACGGUAAAGAAGAAUCGGUUUCGAGGACGCGGAUCUUUUGCCGGGAGAAUUCCGCCAAGACAUUCCAGAAGCCGGAGCCAGAUGCAAGGACGUGGCUCGUCUGUACAACACAGAGGACCGAAUCGUUGCCAGGCCCUGAGCUGCAUGAUCUGCGGUGGUCGUCAUUACCCACGGCAGUGCCCGCAGAGUCGGGGCAUGUGCUACUUGUGUGGCCAGGCGGGCCAUUGUCAGCUAGAAUGCACGAUGAAUGGCGGGACUGUUGGGGCAUCGGUGCCCACCUCGACCCGAGAGACACCCAAUGGAUGUGUGCCCGCAGUUUUGCUGGAGCAGGAUGUGGCGAUUGAGAGGGCUACUACAGGUAGCAUGUUUUGUAGUGCUUUUUGAACUUCUUCAUGAUUGAGAUUAUUGCAUCAUUUGCAUUCAUUCUUGAUCGGCUAUUUGCCGAGUUGCAUGGCAUCCUGUUAGUUAGCUGUUUGCGACGAUGAUUAGCUCCCCUCGAGCUAGGCGAUUGAAUUGUGGGUUGUGGGUAGCGUGUUUUGCUGUGAUUUUUGGGUCGCACGAUGAUUGCCUUAGUUGCAUCCCUGGAUCGGCUGUUAGCCGGAUAGUGCUUAGGGACGGCCGUGCCUGGACCGUUGUGGACCGUGGAGUCUAAGCCCUUUGGGCAGGCGUUGAUGGCUGUGAGUGACAGCAGCCCGGUACCUACGGGUAGUAGGGCAGAGUUUUGGUCAGGACGGUAGUCCGAGCUUAAACCCAAGAGCGUGGUGUGCCACGUGAUGGAUCGUGAGAUUGAGAGUACACCGAGGGUGUAGUGACCCAACCCGAGGUUUUGCUAGCGUUGAUCUUUUUCGAUGCGCGUAAGAUGAUCGGGUGUGUCGUUUAGAACACCCUACCCUGUGAAAGAGUUUUGCGCGCCAACAAAUGAAUUGGCCCUACUUGGUGUGGAGUUAGUGUGGGUACCUUUGGCCUUGCGAGCUGACUUGACUCGUCUUGAGGUUUUGAGCAUGAAAUAGUGCGAUUUGAGGAUCUAGUUCCGCUGGUUGCGACGACUGUCUCCUCACUCAAAAUUGGAUAAUCAGGGAGGAAUUAGGGCCUGGUUGGCCGUUAACAUCUGUUGAUCGAGAAUCCUCGUAAUAGAGAAUAUCUUUCGAGCUGUUGUUGUUUUUCCGAUUGAGACAUGAAGUGUGAGCUCAAUUGGCGGGGAGGUUUUUGCACCUAGCGAUCAGCUUCGUUGAGAAGCGCCCUCACUUGUUGUGAGACCGGAUGGGUCGCUUCGACUGUAUGUCGAUUAUCGUGAUCUAAAUUGAACCACGAUUAGGCGUUUGGACCGUUGUAGAGGCUCAUUGAUCUUUUCAAUUAGCCUUGAGUUGUGGGGGUACUCAAUAAGAUUGUGAUGCAAUAUGAGUAGUACCGUUUUAUGUUGGAGUUGAGGCUCUACCUCAAACGGAUUUUAUUGUUGGGUUGGAAAAUCACAAGAAUUAUUGUGAUGUUGCCUAAGCCUGUGGUACUCCACCAGUGUUAGGGACUCGCGGAAUGAGAAUUCCAAGCCCUCUUGAUGGAUUUGCGGAAUCGGUCGCGGAUGGCCAUGAGUAUUCCGAUGAAGAUUUGCGAGGAUCGAUGGCAGAGGCAGAUUGAUGUGAAUGAGGUGUGAAACUCUCACUGUUGGAAUCGAGUAGUUGGGAAAACCUUGAGAGGGAAAGAUACCAAGUUGCUAUUGUCCCUUGUCUGAUUUUUGUACCGGGAAUUAAGAUCUUGAGAAUGGAAACUGUAUGAAAGAGCUAUUGGGAUGGGCGUUCUGGCUGCUGGUCACGUUAUGGUGACGUUGAUGGAGAGCUAUUACUGAAUUGUGGAUGAACCCUCUCUAUCACUUGAGUUGAGCUCGAUGAUUGUGGACACCUAGAGCAUUCUGUGCUAGGGAAAAUGUUGAGGAUGAGAACUUUGAGUAAUUCUUCUAGAGCAACUGAAGGGUUGACGUGCGAGACAUUCUAUCCAAGAUAAGCCCUUGGCUUAGGCUUACGAAGAGUUUGAUUGAGGCAUCGAGUUGGGACUAAGGGAAGGGCCUUUGUCACGCCCCGGGGCCGAUACCAAUUUGGGCCGGCCCGAGCACGUCAAACACACGCCGAACGGACAGAGUUUUUCCUGUCCGCCCAAGGCUCAUCACAUGUACAUUUUCAAACAAGAAGUGCACUAGCGAAAACAUACAAAUACGGCUUACACGAGGGUAAGCAAUAGCCACGAGUGAAAGAUAGAAAAACUAGCAUUCAUUUGUACUAUGAUUCAAUUUAGAUCAUAUACAUUAAGUCCAACUUGUACAUUUUCAAAUUCCUUACAUUUCCUUACAUCAUUUCCUUCUUACAUCACAUUUACCUCAAAAGAGAACUUUACAUUCUUUUCUUUACAUCAUUAAUGUAACACACUGGGCCUUUGCAAAUUGCGAGGUUCGACUAUUUGGAUGUAUUUCGAUCUUUUCCGCACUUGGUAGAGGGUUGUAGAAUGUUUUCCGACCUAAAAAGUUCGAAAACUGGAAUUCUGGAUAAGUCCUGAGAGUUUUUACUCUCGGGGACCGGUCCCUGAGAGGAGAGACCGGUCCCCCAGUGAACAGUGUUGCGGCAGCCCUGAGGCAACCGGUCCCUGGCGGGCGAGACCGGUCCCUGUGCGCGCCUUCGUAGAGAGAGACUGGUCCCACACAGGGAGAGACCGGUUCCCGAACGUUGGUUUUUCGGGUUCGCAGCGAGAGACCGGUGUAAGAUAUCGAAAUUCGACGAUAUUGGCUAACUUUGGCCAAAUGGACCAAAGUGAGCGAUUAAACGAAUUGGACGAGUUCCAUUCGGUGUUUCAACAUGUUUGGAAGAGUAAAAAUGAGUUCCAAAAGUGUUGGAAUAGCUUUAGCGUUGUUGGACGCGAAAAGAAAUCGAAACAGAUCGAAAAACAGCUUUCUGGAGCUGGUGUACCGGUACACGCAUGAUGGCUGUACCGGUACAGCCAUCGCGGCCAGGCUGCGCAGCCCUCGGGUUUGCUCUCGGGUUUGGCCAUUACGCAGGGCGCGUACCGGUACGCAAACCCGUGUACCGGUACACGAGCGCGCAGCAGCGGGUUAAGUUGCAAAAUCUGAUAAAAGGAGGGCUUUUUAGCAUUUUGUUACAAUAGAGAACUUAACCCUCAGCCCCUCAGCUCUCUCCUCUCUCACUCCCACAGCCCCUCUCUCUCUCUAGCUCUCUCUCUCUAACCGAUUGAAGGAGAAGAAGGAGAAAAGGAAAAAGAAAAGGGAAAAGAAGGAAAAAGAGAGGAAGAAAAGGAAGGAGAGGAAGGAGAAGAAGGCUUGGAAGCUCUUCUUCAUCUCGUUCUUGGCCUAGGGCUUGUUUUGGAGCAAACCCUAGAGGUAAACCUAAACCCUAAACAUGAGAUUUCUAGGGUUUGUAGGUUUUUGUUGCUUUUAAUGGUUCAAAUGGAACCUAAUGGGUUUAGAGAUGAUGGAUCUAGCUCACAUUGAGGCUAGCAUCCAUGGUUUUCCUCAUAGAUGCUAAACCUAGGUUUUAGAAAGGGUUAUGUUGCUUAAGAAUGGUUUAAAUGGAAACCAUUGAAGAUUAAGAGAAGGUUCAAUAACAAAUUUGGAGCUUGAAACCAUGAUUUCUCUAGUGUUGCUAAACCUAGGGUUAGAUUUGGGGUUUUUGGAAAUAUAAGGGUUUGAUCUCUUUUGAGGGGUUAGAAACCUAAUUGCUAUGCUUAUAAACGCGUAGGCGAAGACGGUUCGUCGAUCCGACAAGUGGGUGCGAAGAUAUCGCCAUUUGUUGUGCUAAGGGGUUAAAGCUAACCCAACGAAAAUUAAGCGGCGACAAGACUAGCUCGAGAACGCGUCUCGGAGUGUUUCCGGCAUCACCCAAGGUGGGGGAGUGCCAUACCGAAGUCUUCGGGCUACCUUCUAUGUCUAAGUUUAAUAAUGAUCUCCUUGCAUAUUGUGCAUGUUCCUAUAGGGUUAAAGAUGUAUAAUGUUGCUUAAAUUGCAUGCUAGUAGUUAUAGAUAUGGUUGAUUGAAUGAUUAAUAACUAGUAUGCAUGAGAUUUAAUGAUAGAGUUUGAUGAUGAGAUUUAACCCUAUAUGAGAUGAUUAAUGCUUAUGUUGCUAAAGAACUAGUAUGAUGAAACUAAUGUUAAUAAUGAGUCAAAAUUGACGAGUGGCAUCUAGUUUAGAAAACUAUGACAAGUGGCAUCUAGUUAGAAAAACUAUGAUGAUUGACAUUGAUGAUGUUUCCUUGAGAUGAUCACAUUAGUGUAGCUGAGACACUAUGAGAUUGGGUACGAGUAUACCUUGAUUCCAUGAUGAUAUUACCCUCAAAGGGUUGUUGCUGUUGCUCGUGAGAUGAUCUUGCUCACAUUGCCUGUCUGCGCUUGGUGGGGUCGCUCCCCUCAAGUUGUGCGCUCCGGAGUUUGGUCACUAGAGAGGCAGCCAUGCCCUGCUCGCUGCUGGGGAUAGCCGUUGUUAUCCCAGGCCGUACUCGGGUGAUCGAGCCAGCUUGCCCAAGGAGAUUGAUAGUGAGGCAUUGCUUUGUGAACCUUGUGUUUCGCUUCGAAUGGAUUCGGUUACCCAUGAGUCUCCCCAUUGAUUGAUGUUCAUAGUAGUUAUUCAUUGUUCAUUCAGCUUUUGCCUACUCUAUAGCAUGUUAUAGCGCUUACUAUGAUAACUGCUGUGUAGAUGUGAUAGUUGCUUACUUACCAAGCUUUAAUUUAUUGUCAUACAUUCAUGAAUUCCGAUUGAGGUCAUAGCUUGAUAUACGUUUUUACAUACCUGCUAUUCAGUUUAGCUCAGUUUUAUAAUAUUCAAUAUCAUAUAUCCUCUCUAUUGCUCUUGAACCAUUAGUGGGUAGAUCGUCGGAGUCGGCGGCCGAACCACUUGUGAAAUAUUCGUAUUCUCCAACCCUACCCUGGUUGGUGUUUUUUAUGAGGUGCUUUGGCGGUACCAGUACAGCAGGACAGUGGCCUUCGCGAUGGACUCGUGGUAAGGGUCAUAGCGCCCUAGCUUUUGGUAGAUAGCAUACCUUAUCUUUUACUGCAAUAGCUCUAUAUAAUACCUGUACUUGGUUAUGUUUUGAGAGUAGAUGCCUUGUAUGAGGGUGCAGGUUUUUGGAGAGUUCAUAUGUAUAUUCAUUUAGAAAAGAAUGCAAGUUUGUAUUAAAUAUUUAGUUUAAAUGUUAUCGAAAGAGGUUAAAUGUUUCAAUUAUGGUUUAAUCACUAAUUAUCUCCCCUCCUCUCUCUUUUGUAUAUCUUGUAUGAUUUUACUUGUAUCCGCUUGCUUUAGUUGUGUGCACUUGUUUUUUGCUCUCGUUCGUUUGAUAUGUGUGAAUGAAGUUGUUUUUCCUGGGGACUUGUUGUAACACAAUCUGUUGCUUAGGCCUUGGGCGGACAAAGGGGAAUAUCUGCCCGUAUCGGCGUCGCGCACACCCCUCGAAUCGACCAAAAUUGGGUAGCCGGUUUCGCAGGUGGCUGCGGUCUGGGCGUGUACAACCGAUCCCUGCUUGGGAGAUGACUGUCCCUCUGCGAAAAUUUGCCCAACCGUGGGCUGAUUGCAUAUUUUGGGAUUUGGAGGACGCUCGUAGCUGGAUUUUUGUUACACACUAGAUGGUCUAUAUCCCAUCCCCCAUCUCUACUCUCAUCAUUUCUCUCCUCUCAAACUCUCUCAUACAUAUCAGACACCCUAGAUAGAGAAUAAGAAGAAGAAGAAGAGAAAGGAGAAGAGAAAUGAGAGGAAGGAAGAAGAAGAUGUUUGAGAGUUACUAGUGGGACUGAGCAUACUUCCUCACCUCUCUUCUCCCUUGUGCAUGAGGCCUUGACUUGAAGCUUGCCAAAGAGGAGAACUUCGCACCCUUGGACGCUUGGAUUUGGAGCUUCUAGAAGGGUCUUUUGGACUAAACUUGGUUGGAUUAGAAACCUUCCUGGGCUUGGAUGAUUGGAAGGGAUUUACUCUCUUUGUGAGGUCUGAAGACUGAGAUUUUUCCACACAUUGGGUAUUUGGGACUCGGGGACAACAUUGAUUCGCGAAACGAGCUCCUAGACGCGACGGUUUCGGCUGGGUUUGCCGCUAGCCCACAAUUGAGAAAUUCUAUUGUGCUUAAUAAGUAUCGUUAACUUGAUAAGAGCAUGGCAUAUUUCAUACCUAAAUGUAUGUAUUAUGAAUUUUUAAGAAUGCUUUAUAUAUGCCGAUGUUAUACAUAUGAUUAAUUUUGGACUCUAACUGUACGUAAGAGUAGCUGCGUAGGUCCCUAUAUAGUUGACGGUUAGGCAUUCUAUAUAGAACCGGUGGUUUUCAUUGCUCUUACAGUGUAAUGAUUAUUGAUUAUUCAUUUUAAUAAAUCACUAAGUUUUUUAAAUUUCUGAGACAAUAAAGUUGACGAAAAUCGCCAAUUAGAAGGUAUUAUUCUAGUAGAACUAAUGUCAUCAGCGUGCGCAUUGAGCGUCCUACGCAGGGCAAUGUGGAAGCCUAGUGGAUUAGGCUCAUUGAGGAAUGUUGGAACAUCUUAAACAUUAAAUGUCUAAGUGUCAUAAAGGGGCACUAGACCUAGAGAAUGUUGGACACUUCAUUUGUACUUAGAACUAGAUCUUCGAGAUGCUCAGUGACUAUACCAUGUUAGAGACAUGAGGGUUUGAUACUUGAGACUUGGAGCUAUGGCUUGCUCCAUUUUGCUCAUAUCCACAUGCUGUGAGGGUCGUUCCUACAGCCGGCACUGCCGGAGUUAGCCUAACGCGACUUAUCGUUCGCUCGUUGGCGAUAUUGAGAAGCCAUAACGGGGUUGAGUGUGGACGACAGCAUUUCCAAGAGUGAGGGAUUGUUGGCUAUCACCAGGCAGCUUAGGCGCACAAAGCUGACUACCUUGUAGUCCUUCAAUUGGAAAUUGAACAAUCGACAGUGUUGAGAAUGUUAAUCCAUACUAAUAGGUUUAUGUAUUGAAUUACAUUUAUUAUAGCUUUUUAGCCCUAGCUGUUGAGAACAUUAGAUAAUUCUUGAUAUCCUCUAUUAUUGCAUUAAGCAUACCAUGGUUGCCAUGACAGAUACUUUAUCAUAAGUAUUCAUGAAGGUUCAAUGACCUAACUAUUUUGAUAUUCGUAGUAUGUUACAAUCACCAUGACAUCGUUAUACGCUGAGUUUUAGUAUUUAGUGCAUUUUAAUUAUGCCUUUAUAUCGCAAUCAUUAUUGCGUAUUAUUAUUGUAACUUACCCUCUCUUUGGGGCCCUAAGUGGUGCAUUGACUGAGGUCAUAAUUGCCCACUGGGACACUAUACAAUUAUAAAUUCUCACGCCCUCAGUUUUUUUCGAAUGUUUUAGCAGGCCUUCCCACGCAGGGUUGAGCGCAGGGACGCGGGAAGGGAGUGCUUCUUCAAGUUAUCAAGCUAGCUAGCUUUUUUUGCUUCCGUCGAGGCGAGUUCUGNNNNNNNNNNNNNNNNNNNNNNNNNGGUAAGUACGAUGCGGGUGCCUCCAGGUGACUGAGUCUGACAUGACCGUUGUUGGGUGUGGUGCGACUCGUUCGCCGCCAGAUGGUAUGUCAGGUCUCGAGCUCUCGCUGGGUAAGUGCAACGCGAUCGCCACCGAUGGUUAAGUCUUAUGACUCGAGCCGUAUUCAGCGUGUGCGACGAUUUCGCCGCUAGGAGGCUGAGUCAGAGUGAGUGCGGUAGGCUGACUGAGCAGCCGGAGCGCGGGCUAUCCGCGGAUGAUUGACUCGAAGCCGAGUCGGGUGGUUAGCUAUGAUAGGGUAGAGGAACCCUUAUGAGCUAGAGAUAGAGGCUUGGGCUAAGGUAAUAGAAACCUUAGAAACCAGUGAAUAGUGUUGAGUUCCUAAGGUAAUAGAAACCUUAGAGUAAAGUUAUGUGCUGGAGCAGCUAAGUAAAGGUAGAACUAAAUAAUCUACUCGUUGUUAAAUGAGCUAAAGUAGCCAAGUAAAAGUAGAAUUUAAAUGAUCUACUAGUUGUUGCAUGAUUUUCAUAUCGCAUAUUGUGAGGCAUGGCAUGUAUUUCAAUUGAAUAUAUAUAUCUNNNNNNNNNNNNNNNNNNNNNNNNNNNNNNNNNNNNNNNNNNNNNNNNNNNNNNNNNNNNNNNNNNNNNNNNNNNNNNNNNNNNNNNNNNNNNNNNNNNNNNNNNNNNNNNNNNNNNNNNNNNNNNNNNNNNNNNNNNNNNNNNNNNNNNNNNNNNNNNNNNNNNNNNNNNNNNNNNNNNNNNNNNNNNNNNNNNNNNNNNNNNNNNNNNNNNNNNNNNNNNNNNNNNNNNNNNNNNNNNNNNNNNNNNNNNNNNNNNNNNNNNNNNNNNNNNNNNNNNNNNNNNNNNNNNNNNNNNNNNNNNNNNNNNNNNNNNNNNNNNNNNNNNNNNNNNNNNNNNNNNNNNNNNNNNNNNNNNNNNNNNNNNNNNNNNNNNNNNNNNNNNNNNNNNNNNNNNNNNNNNNNNNNNNNNNNNNNNNNNNNNNNNNNNNNNNNNNNNNNNNNNNNNNNNNNNNNNNNNNNNNNNNNNNNNNNNNNNNNNNNNNNNNNNNNNNNNNNNNNNNNNNNNNNNNNNNNNNNNNNNNNNNNNNNNNNNNNNNNNNNNNNNNNNNNNNNNNNNNNNNNNNNNNNNNNNNNNNNNNNNNNNNNNNNNNNNNNNNNNNNNNNNNNNNNNNNNNNNNNNNNNNNNNNNNNNNNNNNNNNNNNNNNNNNNNNNNNNNNNNNNNNNNNNNNNNNNNNNNNNNNNNNNNNNNNNNNNNNNNNNNNNNNNNNNNNNNNNNNNNNNNNNNNNNNNNNNNNNNNNNNNNNNNNNNNNNNNNNNNNNNNNNNNNNNNNNNNNNNNNNNNNNNNNNNNNNNNNNNNNNNNNNNNNNNNNNNNNNNNNNNNNNNNNNNNNNNNNNNNNNNNNNNNNNNNNNNNNNNNNNNNNNNNNNNNNNNNNNNNNNNNNNNNNNNNNNNNNNNNNNNNNNNNNNNNNNNNNNNNNNNNNNNNNNNNNNNNNNNNNNNNNNNNNNNNNNNNNNNNNNNNNNNNNNNNNNNNNNNNNNNNNNNNNNNNNNNNNNNNNNNNNNNNNNNNNNNNNNNNNNNNNNNNNNNNNNNNNNNNNNNNNNNNNNNNNNNNNNNNNNNNNNNNNNNNNNNNNNNNNNNNNNNNNNNNNNNNNNNNNNNNNNNNNNNNNNNNNNNNNNNNNNNNNNNNNNNNNNNNNNNNNNNNNNNNNNNNNNNNNNNNNNNNNNNNNNNNNNNNNNNNNNNNNNNNNNNNNNNNNNNNNNNNNNNNNNNNNNNNNNNNNNNNNNNNNNNNNNNNNNNNNNNNNNNNNNNNNNNNNNNNNNNNNNNNNNNNNNNNNNNNNNNNNNNNNNNNNNNNNNNNNNNNNNNNNNNNNNNNNNNNNNNNNNNNNNNNNNNNNNNNNNNNNNNNNNNNNNNNNNNNNNNNNNNNNNNNNNNNNNNNNNNNNNNNNNNNNNNNNNNNNNNNNNNNNNNNNNNNNNNNNNNNNNNNNNNNNNNNNNNNNNNNNNNNNNNNNNNNNNNNNNNNNNNNNNNNNNNNNNNNNNNNNNNNNNNNNNNNNNNNNNNNNNNNNNNNNNNNNNNNNNNNNNNNNNNNNNNNNNNNNNNNNNNNNNNNNNNNNNNNNNNNNNNNNNNNNNNNNNNNNNNNNNNUACUAGAGACAGUUAUUGUACUGCUUAUGGUUUCUUUUAUUGUCUAGCUUUAUUUCUUCACUUCGGUGUAGAUGAUAGAAUUUUACUCGCUCUGAUAUCACUAGUUGUUACUAUUUUAUUUGUAUUAUUACUUGCUUCUACUUCCGCUUUUAUUCUAGACGCCUUAUAUGUGUAGACAUAUGGCGGGUCUGGGCACGCUACUGGGAGGGCCUCCGCCGGUCCCGGGGCGUGACAAUUAAUCAUCAAGUACAAAAGAUGAUAAAAGGGUAACUACUAACAAAAUACAAGCCCAACUGGGGUGGCCUCUGACUAAGGUGCGAUACCUUUACCUGGGUCGCUCGCCGGCUCGCUCGGUCCCGGCUCUGUGGAAAUAGUGGGGUGAGAACUACAACAAAGUUCCCAGUGGGUUCGGCCUCAACAUCACCGACUUUCCCACUAGGACUAACUCAGGCAUAAUAGAAAGGAAAAGCUACAAAUAGUGACCAAUCUAUAAGAUGAUGCUAAUAUGCUUGAACAAUAAGAAGGAAGUAUGCUCAACAUUAACAUAUGCAGAUUAUGCAAGUUCUUUUGUUCUUUACACUUUACACUUUGUCUUUGUUCUUUGCUCUUUGCUCUUUGUUCUUUAAUCUUAAGGCUAACCAGGGGGUUUCACCACAUUAAUUUGUUUCAUAUUAAGUCCGUCAUCGCGGGCCCUCAGUUUCCUCCUACUAAGACCAUCCUUCGGGUUUACUCCAACCCGUGAUGCAAAAACUCCGGAGCGCAUCGCCCGAGGGGGAGCGAUCGCCCUCGAGCACGGAACUCAUAGCAAGUAUGAUCGAAUCCUUAACUCAAAGGAUUGUAUGUUCAAUCUUGACUUUACACUAACUCUAGUGUUCUUUACAUCACUUUAUGUUGCUACUCUAGCAAUCAUUAUUCUUUACCUUUCUUUACUUUUGCUAACUCUAGCAAUUACGUUCUCUACAUUUCGUUACUUUUGGCUAUCUUUAGCAUUCUUGUUUUUUAUGCCCCACUUUGUUCUCACUUUAGUCAUUAUCAUUAUUCUUUACAUCGCAUUGAUUCUUUGCCUCGCACUACCUCUAGUGUCACUUUACUUUACAUUAUCAAAUGCCACUCGAUCUAUGUCUCAUUGUGUCACUCUGUUCUUUCGCCUCACUUUGGUACUCACAUUUUCUCUCAUGCAUACAUAUAUAGGGUUUUUGACAUUCAUAAGGUUCUUAACCAUCACAUUACGCAAGUUGUACUCACAAUCAUGCAACAUCACAUUUUCAUCAUUGCUUUACCCUAAAAUGCAUGCAACAAUGUAUAUACAUAUGCUCAAUUGAAUUACACAUUAGGCAUAGAGAGAAGUUCAACGAGUUUGAAAAGCACCACCCACCUCGUAAGUUCUCAAAGGUGCUCCGAUGAUUUUCUUGGGAUUUUUAGGCUUCUCGUUCUUUACCUGCAGCAAAACGAAGCCCUAUUAGGCCAUUUUGCCCAUAUCUUUACAUUGGCUUUUCGUAAUGUUAUUCCGAGCGCACCAACGCGUUCGUUUGGUUCCCAAUUAGGUUUCUAGAGGUCAAUUUCACUUAGAAAUCCCCAUGAGCAAAAGCCCCAAUUUGGGUGCCCUAGCUCCAUUGCACAUAUCAAACCUAGGGUUUGAUCUUAUUGAGAAGCAAAAGUAGCUUCAUUCUACUCUAGGAAGUCUAUCAAAACCAUCUUUAGUUCAACCCAAACCCUAGUUUGGAUUCUACCAUGAGAGGGGUCAAGCUCACUUUCAAGCUUCACCCAUUUCACUCAUGCCAUGGUAUUGAUCUCAAAAGAAGCAAAAAAAAAGCUUCAAAUACUCUAAAGGUUCCAUCUAAACCAUUCUUAGCUUUAUUAAAACCCUAGUUUGGGUUUUACCAUGAGAAGGGGCAAGGCUUACCUCAAAGCUUGCUCCUUUUCCAAGCUAGAGAUGAGGGAGAGGGAGUUUCUUCACUCCUUCUUCUUCUUCUCCACUUUCUUCUUCUUCUUUUCCUUCUUUUCCUUGUCUUCUUCUUCUCCUUCUUUGUCUUGUAGAGAGAGAAAGAGAGGAGAGAGUGUGAGGGAGUGAGAAAUGAGAGAAAUUUCUCAUUUACCCCAAUACAUAGCUCAAUGGGUUGCAAAAAUGCAAAUAAACCCCUCAACUUUCAUCUUAUUCAACUGUCUAGACUGGGCAGAUUUCGGGCUCGGGGACCGGUCUCCCCGACUGGGGACCGGUUCCCGAGAGCUCUCCCAGCGCAGCAAGAGCUGCUGCGCGCAAUGCAACCGGUCUCUACCCACCGUCGUCGUCCUACACGACAUGUUCUACCGAGCCACAUAUACUACUAUCGGCUCCUAAGCACCUAGUGCGAGCCACCAGCCCCACGAGUGACCCAUGGCCCGCUUCACCCUUAGCAAUGCUACAGUGCUACUGCCAUCUCACUCCUCCGGCUGAAUAGAAUCUGUACUCCCCGAGCGUCUAAACUCGAGUGCUCUAUGCCUCUACAGCGUUCCACACGAAAUCUAGCAUUAGGCAAUCUUGCCUAUGCACACCGGCCGCACGAGCACAACCGUCUACCUCACCUCAAGGUACUACUAGGCCCACAUGCUCAAACCUGGCCACUACCAACAAUUUGCUAGUGACGUCUAGCACUUUUCCUGCUCAAGCAGGCUCUAUACUUUCUGACGCAAGCAUGCCCGGGUACCCUCAACUACUCGUCCACUGGUCCCUACUAUACUAAUGCAUAAUUAGUAGCAACUGACCAUGGAAAUGUAUGCAAUGCAUCUAUUCCGCAUUACGCCAAAAUACCUGCUUGCUUGAAUUAAGCCAUACCCGCCAAGACAUCAUUAGCGGCAGCAGGUUCCUCGACUUGAGCGGCAAACACCGAGCCACUCGUAGUCGACGGGCCACCUCAGGCUGACGAGGUGCCAUUGCGCGUCCAGCUAAAGCAACAGUAGGUGGGGCUCCUCCAUAAUGGCCCGAAAUCGCCAAAGCCGAUGCAAUAGACGGGACAGGCGAGGUCUGUUACAAUGCACUCUUUGCCUCUUUGGCAUUUUCGGACAUUCCGAAGUGCACCAACUCGACACAUGGUCAAUUUUAAACGAAGUCAAACUCUCAAAUUUCGAGAAUUCACUUCCUUACAUGCACAACCUUGACAACAUUUAGCCGAAGUCUCCGCACAAACAAAUCGGCCAUAUCGUCGUCAUCCCGCACUAUGUUCAGGAUGUAACUCGAGAUACGGGAGAACUCCCGUUCGCACUAAGCAUAGAUCCUGAACUAGAGUUUCUAUGGAAUCAAUCCACAACUCUAUAAUCCGCGGAUCUACAUUCUCCCCAUCAAAGGCAGGUGGAUCAAAUUCCUUGAAAAUCAUGAGGGCCAUCGACGCUCGCUCCCUCACCGCCUCAACCUUUGGAGUGCUAGAAGUCGGAUUGCCCGACCCCGACGGAAACACCUCCCUUGCGAAUCCCGGCCAUACUCGACGUGCCAAAACUGGUGCGAUCGCCAACCGAUCCACCGACUCGUGGCCUCAUCACUCCCACGAGCGUGGCCAACCAAUAGCGAAGUUUGCAUUCUCCGCUCGCUUGAAUCAUUCUGGGACAUCACUUGUCCCAUCCCGCGUCGAUCUAAACGAAGAUCGCCUACGCGGUACCAUCGUCGAUCUCCUAAUCCGCGACUACACGGUCAGUCUCGACCCUUUAGGUCAAGCACGUAACAACUAACAUCGGCUUGACUCAAAUCAGGCGAAAGUCAUAAAAGGGUGCCUAUUCUCAUCACUCGGUUUCAUAUUGUAUGCAUCCAACAUGAACAUCCUCGGCUGAGAAUAAACUGAACCUUGAAUCCACCUCUAACAUCCGUCUUAGAGGUUUACUAACUUGACCCAAUCGAUUCAACUUCCGCCACCGUUAUAGGUUCACGUUCCACUCACGCACCUAUAACCUUACGGUUUACCGUCCUAGGGUCUCAUAAGUCAUCCUAGACUCUCUCUUUACUUGCUCUUAGCUUGCUCUGAUACCACUUUAUCUGUCACGCCCCGUGACCGCUACCAAUUUGGCUCGGCCCGGGCGCGUCGAACAGACGCCAGACGGACAGCACCUCCUCUGUCCGCCCAAGGCUAACAACGAGAUUGUGUACAACAAGUUUCCAGGAAAAUAACUUGAAUACAUACACAAUCGAUAACGAAGCACACAAGUGCACUACAUCUAAGAGCAAGAAUCACAAGUAACAUACAAGUGAAAUAAAGAGAGAUACAUCUAGCUAUUACAUCUCAUUUAACCUUUACAUAUUGGUUUACAUUUUCAUCUUCCCAAAUAAAUAUAUAUUCUUCUCAUAAUACAAAAUGGCUCUCCAAAUACAUAAGUAACUUCCAAAUACAUCUACAUCUCUAUGUACACGAGGGUACUCUAAUGCAUAAGGAAAGCUACUAGCUACUAGGACGCUGUGCCCUUACCACGGUCCUCUGCCGGUACGCUCUCGUGUGUACCUGUACCCCAAAACCACACGGGGUGAGAACUAUAUAAAUAUAGUUCCCAGUGGGUUCGGCCGCCGACGCCGCCGGUUUUCCCACUAGGUCUAAGCUGGCACAGAUAGAUAGAUAGAAAGGUAGAUAGAAAUACAUUGCUACUAUAUCUACCAUGCCAUCAAAUGCAAAGAAUGCAUGGAACAUCAUCUAGCAAUAACCUACUAUCAUGCUAGUAUGCUUCAACAGUGUAAUAAAUACAACUACAACAUAGUUAUGCAGUCUACUAUGUCUAAUCAUGGCAUGAAUGCAAUCCACUUAUGCUAUUCAUGUUACAACCCAAUCGAUUAGGCCAACUUGCCUAAGAUCUCAAAUCUCAAAGGUCCUAAACAAAGAGCUACCCCGCUCCUUGCCCGACUCAAUCUCGCUCUACUAAGUACGAGCUGCUACAUAGUAAUGGAAUAUACACAUGCUACUAUGCCUCUGUAAUCAUGGAAUGCAUGAACAUAGCAAUGAUAUUCUACUAAUCAUGAUACUAUGCUUCAACAACAAUAGAAAUGAGCUACUACAUAGUGAUGUAUCUACAACAUGCUACUAUGUCUCAAUGUCAACUCAAGGUAUGAAUGCAAAUCUGCUAUGCCAUUCAUAUUCUUUACCCAAUCUGCUUGGAAAUGAGCUACUACAUAGUGAUGUAUCUGCACAUGCUACUAUGCCUCAAUAAUCCGAAUGAACGAGCUACUACAUAGUGCGUCGUGCAACUAUGCCUCGAUAGUAUCCAAUCUCAUGGCUAACCUGAAGGUUGCCACCCCGGGGUCAACCCCGACUCACUCUCAAUCUCAUAGGUGAGGAGAAUCUGCGCUCGCACACCGAGACCGUCUGCGGGACAACUACGUCUGCCCCUAGUGAAGUACUCCGGAGACUCGUGCUUCGGUGGAGCGACCACCGACAAGCAAAAACAGACUAGUGAGUAUGAUCCAAUCCUCACAAGAGGAUACCCUAUCUACCAGGGUCAAUGUGCCUCUGCUGCACAAUACCAAAUGCAUAAUCAAUGCCUCAAAUGCACUAAUGCCAAAUGCAUAAUGUCUACAACAUGACAAUCGGGAAAAUCUACUAUCCCUAGGUUCAAAUGCCAUAGUGUUCCACUACACUAGAUUUGAUACCACUUGUUUAUGUCAUGAUGUUAUAUGUGUCUUAAUACACUAAAUCGACAUGCCAAUCGUCAAUAUUAUAGUGUCAUUAUUAGACUAGUCCAAUUGCCCCUCGUCUAGGCUAAUUACAUGUCCAAGUUCAUCAUCAUUCUUGUCACUAUAAGAUUCUUGUCACAAGACCCAAUCCUCAUGCAACCUAAGAUCAAGUGUCAAGCCCACAAUGCUACACAACCUAGGUAACAUGCAAGGAAUGGAAAUGUAAUCAUCUACUAAUCCUAUAAUGCACAAUAUAUCAACAUAUAGGAAUAUGAUCAACAUAUAGAACUUAGACAUAAAAGGAAGCUCAGUUGCUUCGGGAUGACACCCCCCACCUUAAUUCGCGUUCCGAUUGCUUGUCGACACUUACAAUCGGCCUCCCGUGGCACCCGUAUCCGGCACGGCCCGAUAUUCAAACUGCGCCUCAACCGUGCUCCGCUUCGCAGUCCCGAAAAUUAUAGGCCUUCGGUUAUGUGCCACAGUGCUCCAAAUCCAUUUUCAUGAUUUUACGAUGUCGCCUCGGCCCUCCAGGCGGAAACGAAGCCUAAACGUCCGUUUCUUUAAUAACUUCGCGUAAGCUCGACGAAUCGCCGAACCGACUUCGCCAACGCGUUCGCUUACCUAGCAAUUAGGUUUACGAAGGGUCAAAUUAGAUCAAACCCCACCUAAUUUGUAAACCCCCAUUUUCACACCCUAGCCUCAACAUAUGCUCCAAACAAUCCAAAUAUUAAGGAUUUAACAAGCUAACUUCACAUUAGAGGCUAUUAGAACACUUAAACUUAAGGAUUAAACCAAAUCCCGAUAGCUUACCAAAAUAUGAACGCCGAGACGGAAGCACGCCGCUUCAACGGGCGCACGAAAACUCGAUCCGUCGCUCCCAAUGCGUUCGCAAGCUCGAUCUCCACCGACGCCGCGAAUUUGGGCGAAAGAUCUAGAGAGAUAAGAGAGUUAUUUAGAGAGAGAAAGGAGGGUUUCUCUACCCUCACCAUGAACGCAUGGUAGUGGUGAUGGUGGUCGGCUGAUGGAGAGGGAGAAGCCUAGUAGCUUCUACUUAUAGUCAACCCUCAAUAGUAGCAUACACUAUUUACAUCAGGCAGCUCCAAAUCUGAUAUCUUUCGCCGGAGCUCCCUGAAUAUCCGUUUGAGCUCAAAUUUGACAGUCAUGUUCGGUUUUGCUUAACUUAACGAAAGAAAUUUUAAUCUUUCAGUUUCGACCCCAUUUGAUCACCGAAAGCUGUACCGAAUUGUAAUCUUUAUCAGAUAACUGUCGGAUUUUAUGUUCCACCUUCCAGGUGUCAGAAUGGGCUGAAACUUUAAAUCUAGCCUCAUAAGAAUAAUUCUGGCUUAUCCUCCAGUUUUCAGAAUUUUCUGACACUGUGCAUUUUCUACUAAUUUAUCUGCCCCGUUUCACACAGAAAAUUCUAAAUAUUCUGUUUUCGCUCCGAUUUCAGCACAGGUCAUUCCCAACAUAUACUUCACUUCUAUAAAUACAAUAAAAAUAGUAUCUCAUACUAUUUUUAUUUAUUUUCACUUUUACAUUUAAAAUUCGCAUGUUAUAUCCCACCGUAACUUCAUAAUUUUAGAUGUUCGGUACCCUACACGGUCUCUCCCCGCAGGGACCGGUUUCUGAGAGCUGAUUUUUCAGGACUUAGCCGAUUUUUCAGCUGCUCAGUUUUCACACGUUCGUAGACCGGUCUCUCCCACUAGGGACCGGUCCCCGAGAGCUCAAAAACUGCAGUUUGCAGAUUUUUGAUUCUAUAGCUCUCGAAAACCUCCCAUAACACACGUUUGAUCAUUUUAACACCUUUGGACUUUCCGAAGUGUACCAUCGUCGCACUUUGGUAAAUUUAACUAAAGCUCGAUAUUUAUUUCCGAAUUUUCGGUAUAUUACAACCUUAGUGGAUUAAGGAUGUUACUGAGCGUUGGUCCACGACCAUACUUAUAGUAGAGAAAUUGAGAGUACCUUCCGAGCGGUGAAAGUGAGAUUGAUGUGGAGGCAUUGUGGUGCAAUGCCGAUUGAGGAAUCGAGUAAUCACCUUUGGCGAGCGGUGUAAUGUAUACACGGAUCAUAAUAGCUUAAGGUACUUGUUCACUCAGAAGGAGCUGAACUCGAGGCAGCGCAGCUGGUUGGAGCUGCUCAAGGAUUAUGACUUGACUAUUCUCUACCACCCGGGCAAGGCCAACGUGAUGGCGGAUGCGCUAAGUCGGAAAACGAUGGAAAACUUAGCGAUGCAUGUUGUAACUCAACCGCAGUUAAUCAAGCAUUUGAAGUGGUUGGAGUAAGAGGUGAUGACUCCGGACACACCUUUAAGGUUGAUGACCUUGGUAGUGCAACCUACACUACUGGAUAGAAUUAAAGGAAAGCAAGUUCCCGAUGUGGAAUUGCAAAAGAUUAGAGGAAAAACGGUUGAUGGUUGCACCGAUGAUUUCCUGGUGGAUGACCAAGGAUUGAUGCGUUUUCGUAGACGGUUAUGUAUACCGGCGGAUUCGGGACUUAAGAAGACAUUCUUCAAGAAGCACCUCGGGCACCCUAUGCUAUACAUCCGGGAAGCACCGAGACGUACUAGGAUUUAAAGCUGCUCUAUUGGUGGCCCGGAAUGAAAGAGGACGUUGGCGAGUUUGUGGCUUGAUGUUUAACUUGCCAACAAGUUAAGGCUGAGCACCGAGUUCCCGCGGGAAAACUUCAGAAAUUGCCGACUCCCAUGUGGAAACGGGAGAAGAUCACCAUGGGAAUUGUUAUGGGAUUGCCCCGCUCACAGGUUGGGCAUGAUGCUUGUUGGUGAUCGUGGAUAGGUUUGCAAAGUCGGCGCACUUCAUACCUAUUCAUACUGUUUGGACCGGAGAGAAGCUCGCACAAGUGUACCUCGACGAGAUUGUGCGACUUCAUGGCGUGCCUACUUUGAUAGUAUCUGAUUGAGACACACGGUUUGUGUCUCACUUUUGGAGGAGUCUGCAAGACGCCCUAGACAUUCGUUUGGAUUUCAGCACUGCUUUCCAUCCACAGAGUGAUGGGCAGUCGGAGCGCACUAUUCAGACUUUAGAGGAUAUGCUCCGAGCGUGUGUGAUUGACUUCCAGGGAGGAUGGUCGCAGCAUCUACCUAUGGCCGAGUUUGCUUAUAACAACAGUUAUCAAGCAAGCAUCAAGAUGGCGCCCUUUGAAGCACUUUAUGGACGGAUGUGUAGAUCGCCACUUCAUUAGAGUGAAGUUGGCGAGAGACUGGCUUUAGGCCCUGAUGUGCUCCAGGAAGCUGAGGACAAGGUUCGCAUUGCUCGGGAGCGACUCUUGACGGCACAAAGUCGACAGGGAGCUACGCUGAUCGACGGUGGCGAGACUUGGAGUUCCAGGUUUGAGACCAUGUUUUCUUGAAGGUCUCGCCGACUAGAGGAAUCAAGAGAUUCGAGAUUCGGGGAAAGUUGAGCCCCCGUUUCAUUGGACCGUAUGAGAUUUUGGAGCGUGUAGGCCCGGUAGCGUAUCGACUUGCCCUACCAUCAAAUCUAUCGGGCAUGCACAACGUCUUUUAUGUAUCAGUCCUUCGGAGGUACAUUCAUGAUCCAGCUCACGUUUUGGAGGCUAUACCCGUGGAGCUACAUGAGGAUUUGAGCUUCGAGAAGCAACCAGUGAACAUUUUGGCUCGCGAGGUGAAGAAGCUGUGGAAUCGGGACAUUGCGUAUGUGAAUGUCCUUUGGAGCAACCACGGGGAGCGAGAGGCUACGUGGCAGCUAGAGAGCGCUCUUAAGGAGCGUUAUCCCCAUCUCUUUCAGAUGGAGUCUUGAGGUAUGUUGUAUUCCGAGUUUUGUGGACGAAAUUCUUCUUUAGGAGGGGUGAAUGUAACGCACUGGACCUUUGCAAAUUGCGAGGUUCGAGUGUUUGAUCUGUGUUCUGAGCUUUUCCAGAUAUUCUGGAGGGUCGUAAACAGUGUUCCAACCUAUGGCUCGCAUCCCGAGAAUUGUGGGUUUAAGCUUGUACCAAAAUCCCAAAAUAUAGGAUUAUUGGUGUGCUCUCGGGUUGCCUCUGCAGGAUUGUGUACCGGUACAACCUUCAUGGUUGUACCGGAACUACAACCUUGAUGGUUGUACCGGAACGCAAUGUGUACUGGUACAGCCUCGAUGUCGUACCAGUACACUUCGGAUUUUCUGCCAACCCGAGGCUCGGGUUGGGCAGUUUCGUAGGAAGUGUAUCGGUACACUUUCCCGUGUACUGGUACACAAUGCAGUCUGGGCUGAGUUCAGGGAGAGGUGUAUUUGCAAUUAUUGCAACCUCUUUAAAUACCCCCCCAACCCCCCUUAGCUGCUCUUUUGAGCCCUAGACCUGAGGAGAACAAGGUGAGAUUCUUCCCCUUUGAUUUCUUCUUCAUUUUUGAUGAUUUUUGUUGGUUUUGAUCUCUUCUCUCUUUUCCUCUUUGCUAUUUGUUGGGUUUUCUCCAUGGUUGAAGACUUGGAGCUUGAAGAGGAGCUUGUUUGAGAGGAGAUCUUCAACCCCUCUUUGUUUGGAGCCUAGUUUGGAGCAUUUGAGAGGUGAGUAGCACUUUUCUACUCCUUGAUCUUUGUUUUGAGAGGUUUUAUGAGAUGAAACCCUAAAAUAAGACUUAGGGUUUAUAUUUUGGGACUUUUUGAUUAGAAGCUUUUAGAGCUCUAUUGAUAGGUUUAGAACCUUGGAUUAGGUUGCUUUGGAAGGGAUUUGGCUUCCAUUUGAGCUUUAUUUCAGGAUUUCUUCAUCUAGGUGAGUUUUUCUCCACCUUAGCUUAAGAUGGUUAAUGAUUAACCUUAUGGUUGUUCGUACGAUCCGUUUAACUUUUGUUUCUACACCUCUAGGGUGCUAGAAGACUAGUGGACACCUUCGUCGGAGCAAACGAAAAAGUUGUGAGAGUUGUGGUGGGUUUGGCUUCAUUGAAAUAGGAGGAAAUGCCUCCUAUGUGGUUAAAUAUUUUUGUAUACUAUAAAUACAUGCAUAUUCAUGUUAAAUGAAAUUUAUGUGAAUUUUAGAGUGCUUAAAACCCCUAUGUUAUGCAUCAUGAAAGAUUGACACUAUGUUGUAGAGAGAAGCAUAUGCAUUGUUAGUAUGCAUGAGUUUAAUAUCCUAUUGACUGAUGUAAGAUCAUGCUUCACGUGCUUAAAAUGAUUAGAACAACAAGCUUUUAGACUUAUUAUUCAUAUUGGAACAUAGUGAGCAAAAGUGUCAUAGAGGGGCACUUGAACUAGAAAAUUGUUGAACUGCAACUUAGAGACAUAAUGAUAGGCCAUUGGAAAUCUACUAUAUUCCGUGUUUUAGACACGAUGACAUAGAGGUAGGCCAUUGAGACAGUUACUAUAUUCCAUGUGUUAGACACGAUGACAUAGAGGCAGGCCUUUGGAACAUGUGCUGUAUUCCGGGUUUUAGAUCCAAUAAAACAGUGAUGAACUACUGGGACCUGAGACGGACUUAUUCGCUUGCAUGCCAUUGUGCUCAUUCGCACAUACUUGUGAGGGUCGCUCCCUAUAAGUCGGCACUCCGGAGAUAGCCAUCGCGACACAUGCUCGCCCGUGCGUGAUUGGGCGCUAAAAUGGGAUGCCGUGGGGGAGGCUUAUUCCUAAGUGGGGAUGUUGACUACCACGAGGCCAUUGUUGGCACGGCGCAGGCCGGACUACCUACGGGUAGCUUCCACAGGAUUGGGUUACUAGUGACAUACUAUGCCAUUUGGACAUUGACUAGAAUAGUAAAUAUUGACACAUUACCAUUCUAGCUUGUGGUUAUUAUGUUCGGCUUAUAUUUGUGCAAUUAUGCCAUGGUAGUUUAUUACUUAUGCAAAUCUAUGCUAAGUAGAGAUCAUGUGGUAGAUUAUUACUGAUGAAAGUAGUGACAUCAUGCUAUAGUGAGCUUCCAUUUCAGUGAUUUAUUGUUCAUAUUAUUCUUACCUACCUCGCUUACCUUACUUGCUUAGUUUUGGGCCUAGUGAUGCAUUUCACUGAAGUCAGUAAUUGCCCACUGGGAACUAUUAUUUAAUAGUUCUCACGCCCUCUGUUUGAUACCUUUUUCAGAGCCUUCAGCACCGGCAGAGGCACGGGAUCGCGGCGAGGGAGUCGCGUAGCUAGUUAGUGCGGAGCCUACCUUUGCCCCUAGGUGGUCUACUUUCUUUUUGUGUUUUUGGUGAGAGAGAGUUUUGUUACCAUGUAUAGAAACCGCCAUUGUACCACUUAUAGCAUUUGUACUCGAAAUUCUGUCGUUCUACUUUAUGAUUUAUUUUAGUGGAUUUUAGCUCUUGUUGUACUCUCGUGUUGUUGAUUCUAGUAGUACUUUGCUCUGAUGUCGCUAGGUCUCUUUGUAUUAUUAUUUUAUUUAUUGCUGUAUCGUAGACGCCUUAUAUGUUUUAGACAUAUGGCGGGUCUGGACAAGUGCCGGGCGGGCUUCUGCUGGGCCCCAGGGCGUGACAUCUCUACAAAAAGGUACAAGUCUCUCUUAACCUCUCCAAAAUAAAACUCAAAAGAGAGGUGGACCACCUAUCGCCGAACCCCUCGCAAGCUAACUCGAGGCGAUACCUUUCCCGCGAUCCCGAGCCUCUCCCGGAGUGGAAGGCUCUGAAAAGAAACAUUAGAACAGAGGGCGUGAAAACUAUUAGAUAAUAGUUCCCAGUGGGCAAUUACUUACUUAAGAUAAGUGCACCCCUAGGCCCAAAAAUAAUCAAGUAAGUAGAUGCGAGUAUAAACGAGAUAACAACAAGUAAAUAACAUCAAUGCUUACUACAACAUGAUGUCUCUACUUAGCAUGAUUUUGCAUAAGUAAGAAAGCUAUUCUAGGAAGAAUAAAAAUGAAUGUAUAACCAACAUAAUGUCCACAACGCAAAUAGUAAGAUGUCAUUGUUUACUAUUCUAGUCCAAGCUCACUUGGCAUAUUAACUUCUCAUAGUUUCAAUCUUGUAAGACCCACCCGAAGGCUGUCUGGCCUGCGCCGUGCCUAUUGGCCCCGUGGUAGUCAACAUCCGCACGCUAGGAAUAAGCCUCCCCCCACGGCAAUCCACUUCGGCACCCAAUCUCGCACGGGGGAGCAUAUGUCGCGAUGGCUAUCUCCGGAGUACCAGCUUGUAGGGAGCGACCCUCACAAGCAUGUGCGAAUGAGCACAAAGGCAAGCAAGCGUAAAAGUCUAUCUCAAGUACCAAGUCCUCAAUGUUGCAAUUUAACAGUUUACUAGUUCGAGUGCCCCUUUGUGGCACUUUUGUUCAUCAAGUCGAAGCACGAGUUUAGUGUUCAAGAAUACAUCAUUAAAGUCAUUUUCAUCACAUGCUACUCACAUGCAUGUUUAAUCCACAUAAGGCUCUACUAUACAGAGAUGAAUUUUCAUAAUACAUAACACAUGCAUUUUAAGCAUUCUAAAAUUCACAUAAAUUCUAUUUAGCAUUAAUAUGCAUGAGAUGCGAUGAAACGAAAACAUUUAACCACUUAGGAGAAGUUUUCUCCUAUUCCAAUGAAGCCAAACCCACCGAAACUAUUAAAAACCCUUCGUUUGCUCUGACGAAGGUGUCCACCACUCUCCUAGUACCCUAAAGGUAUAGAAAAGAGAGAUACACGAACGUUACGAACAAUGCUAGGUUCGAACAUUAAACAACUCAAGCAAAAGGAUGAAAACUCACCGAAUGCGAAGGAAACUCUCUCGAUCUCCAAAUGGGAGUUAGAGUCCUUCCAAAACCAACCUAAACAAAGAUUCCUAAUAAGAUCAAAUGGGCUCCAAAACCCUCAAAUCCAAAAUUCCCAAAAUAAACCCUAAGUUCCAAUUCUAGGGUUCCAACAAGUAAAAUCCACUAAAACAUGGAUCAAAGAGGAGAUUAAGCUCACUAACCCUUCAAGAGUCCCAAAACAAGCUCCCAAACCAACUAGGGUUGAAGAUCUCCUCUCAAACAAGCUCCUCUCCAAACUCCAAGUCUUCAACAAAGGAGAAAACCCAACAAAAAAUAAGGAGGCGAAGAAAGGAGAGAUCAAAACUAACCAAAAUUCACCAAAAAUGAAGAAGAAAUCAAAGGGGAAGAGUCUCACCUUACUUCUCCACAGGUUAGGGCUCAAAAUAGCUUCUAAGGGGGCUCGGGUGAUAUUUAUAGGGUUUGCAAUAAUUGCAAAUACACCCCCCACAACAUCAGCCCGCAGAGCAAAGUGUACCGGUACACGAGAAAGUGUACCAGUACAAGUCCUGCGUGACAGCAAACCUGAGCCUCGGGUUCGCAGAAAAUCUCCAUGUGUACCGGUACACUUCCGAUGCUGUACCGGUACACCAUCUGUUCCGGUACAACAUUAAUGUUGUACCGGUACACAGCCCUGCAAACAGCAACCCGAGAGCAGCCUAAGUCCAUCAUUUUGGCGACCUUAGCGCUACUAUAAAUACUACAAUUCUCGGGAUACGAGCCAUAGGUCGGAACACUGUCCACGACCCUCCAGAAUAUCUGAAAAACUGGGAAUACACUCGAAUCUUGCUAUUUGCGAAAGCCCAGUGUGUUACAAUUGUAUUAUUCUUAACUCUUGUACUUGGAUUUCUGAUGUACCACUUUAUGGUUUUAUUUAGUGGAGUUUAGCCUUAUGUUCUUUCCUUUAUUGUAGAAUCUAGUUGUACUUUGCUCUGAUACUCCUAGAUGUUCUUCUUCUAUUGCUUUAUUUAUCGUUUUGUUGUAGACGCCUUAUAUGUUUUAGACGUAUGGCGGGUCUGGAUACGCGCAGGGCGGGCUUCCGCCGGGUCCCGGGGCGUGAUAGAUUAUUUUGGUAUCAGAGCCUAGGGUUGAGUCUUAGUGGACCUAGCAGACCUUAGGCCACUAUAGGAAAUAGGCUCGUGAGAGACGAUGUCUAUUUGACUUGUAAGCGAAAGUAUCUUGAUUGGGUUUCUUUAUAACUCUAAAAAGUUAGAGUUUAAUCGAAGUGUCUGGCUUCUAACUUCGCGGAGGGUUACGUUGGCGGCCGACAACGUAACAUCGCGAGUUAGUAGUGAAGAACCCUUCCCUACUUUCGCAUGAUUUGGGUGUUGUCUUCUUGAGUGGAUAUUCGAUAGCGUGGGUUUUACUAACUUACGCUUUUAUGAUGUUGUAGUGAGAUGCUGAUCACUCGCUCUCAAUCUGCCGGAGCGAUAAUACGGCACACUUGGAGGAGGUUGAGACCUUCGCUACCUUCGGAUCCAGCGAGGUCCGUGAGUUCAGGGGCCAACUUGCGGCCCUCACCGAAUUGGUUGCAUAGCAGACCGCGGUGGCUCAGCAGCAGGCAGAGGCAGCGCGUCCACAGGAGGCGCAGAUGAAGCGCCUGGAGGAAUUACUGAUGCAGCAGGCGGCUGCUAGAGAGGCUCAAGUUCCUACACCACCCGCACCGGUGGAGGUGGUUGCACCCCGAGGGUCGUCCCCUGCUCUCGACACAUCUCAGAGACACCUGCGGUAGCGCCACGGGAGAAGGUGAUUGCGGCACCACUAUCUCAGGUGCCUCUGGCGGGGGCGGCUUUCCCCGUGACGGCUGUUGGAGAGGAGCGAGACCGACUUAUGGAGCGCCUCAAUAAGUUCAGGAGGUGCAGCCCCCGGAUCUUCGACGGCGAGAGGGUCGACCACUGGAUCGUGGAAAAGUGGUUGAUGCACAUGGAGAAGCUCUUCCGCGACACCUUCGUGGAGGAGAGGGAUUGUGUUUGGCUCGCCACUCACUACUUGGACGGCGAGGCCUACCAUUGGUGGUUGGACAUCCAGGAGAACCCCAACACCGACCUUGCAGCCAUUACCUAGAAGAAGUUCAAGGAACUUCUACUGGCGCACUACUUCCCCGACAUCGUCAAGAGGAAGAUGGAGCAGGACUUGCGCAACUUGCGCCAGGGAGAUCGGAAUGUAGCCAAGUUCGAGAGGGAGUUUUUGCAGCUUCUACAUUGCGUGCCUUUCGUUGUGCGGGACGACGAGGACAAGGACCACAUCUUCAAGCGGGGAUUGCGACCGUCUAUCUUCUGGUUCGUGCAAUCCUCUAACUUCCAAACCUACCGAAAAGUGGUGAAUCGCGCGCUCGUCGUGGAGAGCGGCGCGGCUGAGGUGCAGGAAAGGAGAGAAGGCUUGGACAAGGGUAAGGGCCAAAGGCCCGCGGCUGAGAGUGCGAGUGAGACGCACUUUAGGAGGCCGCCGAAGCACCUGUAACACACUGGACCUUUGCAAAUUGCGAGGUUCGAGUGUUUGGUCUGUGUUCCGAGCUAUUCCAGAUAUUUUGGAGAGUCGUAGACAGUGUUCCGAUCCAUAGCUCGCAUCCCGAGAAUUGAGGUUUAAAACUUAGCACCAAAAUCAAAAAGAUUGGAUUUUUGGAUCUGCUCUCGGGUUGCCUCUGCAGGGCUGUGUACCGGUACAACCUUGAUGGUUGUCCCGAUACAGAAAGUGUACUGAUACACCUUGAUGGUUGUCCCGGUAUAGAUGUAGUGAAUGGCCAACCCGAGGCUCGAGAUAGCUGUUUCGCAGGAUUUGCCGGUACACUUUCCCGUGUACCGGUACACUUUGCGAGACUGCGAACAGGCAGUGUUGGAGGGGUGUUUUUGCAAUUGUGGCUUCUCUAUAUUAACACCCACGCCCCUAGAGCUCUCCCUAUGUAAGGUACCGGACUUCUAAAAUUAUGAAGUUACGGUGUACAUUUGGUUGGAAAGCCAUUUGAAUGGUUCCGGUAAGGUUGCGGUGGAAUAUAAUAUACCGGCUUUUAAAUAUAAAAACAGAAAUAAAUAAAAAUAGUAUGAGAUACUAUUUUUAUUGGAUUUAGAGAAGUAAAACAUAAGUCAGAAUUGACUUGUGCUGAAAUCGGAAUGAAAACAGAAAAUCUAGAAUUUUUUGUUGGAAACGGGACAGAUAAAUUAGCAGAAAAUGCACAGUGUCAGAAAAUUAUGAAAACUGGAGGAUAAGUCAGAAUUAUUUUUAUGAGGCUAGAUUUAAAGUUUCAUGUCAUUCUGACAUUCGGAAGGUGGAAAAUAAAAUCCGACAGUUAUCUGAUAAAGAUUACAGUUCGGUACAGUUUUCAGUGACCAAACGGGGUCGAAACUGAAAACUUAAGAUAUAUUCUUACUCAGUACGUUAAACCGAGCCUCCCUGUCAAAUUUGAACCCAAACGGACAUUCAGAAGGGCUCCGACUGUUCCGAACUGCUA
rnacentral:lncRNA from 1 species